CGCUUCUGAAGAAAUAAGAGUUGUCGCUUGUCGUGGCAUAGGAAGACGUCAUCGUGGAAGCUGAUGCAUUGCAGAGGAGGAGAGGAGAGGAGAUUCGAUCAUUUCCAUAGUGCUGGUCAGAUGUUUGACGAAAUACGUAUGUGGAGUAGGAACUGGGGUACAUUAAUCUGAAAUCGGUGUGUUGCUUUCGGCUUGUGCAAUUGAUUUCUUUGUAUAUAGAUAAACGAUGGUGAGAAAUACAACGGUGCAUUUUGCAUCUCCCAAUCUCCUAUAUUUUUUUUUUAUCAGUGUCCCUGUCUCCUAAAUGUGAAGGCUGCAAGAUAUAAUUUAAAGAUUAUUUCAUGUGUGCUCACAUUAGUCUUUCCCUUUGAACGCCGGUGAUGAAAUUGUUGGAUGUAGCGAGAAAGCAUAUGAUUAUUUGUCAAUUUGGUGACGCACGGCAAAUGUUGUUCUUCUCCUGUGACCAAGAACUUGCGGCAUAUAUAAGGAGGUAAAUAUUAUGAGACGAUUUUGGCUUUCUCUACCUGGAAUUCUGUUCUUAAUUGACUAAUUUAGUCAAAAAGAUAAUAUUUGCUCCCGUAUUAGUUCAGAUCUUCGAAGGGUCUCAUAAAAUCUGUUCUAUUGAGUUGCUAAUCUAUGUCCUCUUCAAUUAUUAUGAUUGUUUGUCUUCUUCUGGAAUCAAGGACUGAUGUUAAAACUUACGCUUACAACAUCUAUGUGUCAUUUGGCCAUUGCUAUCACUCUGCUGAAAUCAAACUUGGCAAGGCGUGCUUGGUAUGGAAACCUUGUGCUUGAAAAAGUGCUUCGGAGUAUGUGUGGAAGAGUUUAUCCACAUAAAAGCUGUAUUGUGGAGACUGAACAAUUACAUACGUUACCUGUUGGAAUGCAGGAGCAUCUCCAGUGGCAGAUUAAGAGUGGGUUCAUAUAUUUUCAGAAGGCCAAGGAAUCUGCAUCUUUGAAGGAAAUUCCUUCCCUGCAGCUUAUCAAUCAGACAUUAGGUUACACAAGAGAGUUGGAGCGGAUUGUUUAGGACCUGCGACAAUGCGCGGUGGUUUGCUCUGGUAUUUGCACACUUUGAAGAUUGGUUAUUUUAUGCUGAUGGCAUCUCAUCCCUCUUGCUCUUUUUGAGAAAUUUGAUACUUAUUCUUAGUAAUCAUUUCCAUUUCGUUGUUGAAUACAAUUUUGCAUUUGAUCAGUAGUAUAUUUUCCUUGGCUUACCUGCUUGGAAGAACCAGAAACCAAAAUUAGUCUAGUCACACGGAGAUGGACAACUUGGAGAAUGUAUAUGUCGUUCUUAAUCAAUCUAACCCUAUGAAUAGGCCUAGAUACAAUUAUGUUUAAUCUGUUAUAGUAGAAUGGAAUAUAUGCACACUUGGUGACAUCAAUUGUCUCUGUUGGUCAAAGAGUUGCAAAGCAUUGACAUAGGAAGGCCAACUAGGGUUGCUUGUGUCCAGUUCAAUUUUUAGUUCAGUAGGUUGAAGUAGCCACCACUGUGGGCUUGUGCUUGCUCCUGAUUGAUGGUAUUCCGAAGAGAUGGCAUAGCACAAUCAUAUAAGAAAUUUCUUUUCCUCUUACUUUUUCCCUAGACUCCGGAUUGAGCUCUGUGAACAUAUGAUUUUCGUUUCUACAUUUGCUGCAUAACACUCUCAAGACUGAGCAGAGUCAAUGAAUCUGUAAUUUGCAAUUUCAUGAGAAUCUUGAGUGAUACACGAUGUAGCCUUUGCAUGGCAAAAUCAUUGCUAAAUGCUGUUGCCUCUCUCUGAUAAAUGAUGUUCCUCCUGCUGCGAAAGAAAAAUGAAAGUCAUCAUUAGUUUGCUUAAUUGAUACUUCUGAUGGAUAGGGAAAGAGCAAGAGGAAGAAUUUAUUGGGUGGGUAUGCAACAAUGGUCCGCCUCUUCUGAAUCAUGGCGUUAUGAUGAAUUAACCCCUUGCUGUUAGGAUGUGACCAUCAUUGAUGGAUCUCAUCAUAUCUUAUGAUGAUGUAAUACUGAACAUUUGAGGAAUUCCCAAUCACCCAAAUGUUUCCAAUUUCUUAAUACUUAUUGUCUUGUUUAUUCCUUCUUUUCUUUUUCUUUUCUUUUUUCAAAUUUUCGUUGGCUUUUCUUGUUUCUUCUCAGUAGGCCCUUCUGCUCCACAAUGCAAGUUUCGUUUCCAUCUUCAUAAGUUAGUCUUACUCGAUCUUCAAGAUGACGAUACUAAUAAAAGCUGACAAGUGCAAAGACUUUGCCACCUCACUUUUCAUUGGGUUCACAGGAUCUUUUGCAAAACCGCACUUUCAUUGGAUUUGCAUGCAUGGUGGACCAUGGUGAAUGCUUGAGACUUAUAUGGAAGAUGCACGACAAAAGUUAGAGUUGGUUUAUGGUGAGAAAGAUUAAAUGUCAUUCAGUUGCUGAGUUGAAUGUGGAAGCCUCACAUCACCUGACUUCCUAAAGAACUCUUCAGUACUUAAUGAGCGUGCUGUUAUUAUAAGUGUGAAGAUGGAAGAUCAAGAUGCCUUUGAGUGAGAUUUUUUUCAACUGAAGCCUUAUUAUACAAAUGCAGGGUAACUUUUGUCCUGGCGUUGCUUGAAAUUGUUUGUUCAUACACAUGGGCAUGUGCAAUUGCAGAUGCUAUAAGGCAUUAGACCUGAAUUGCUAGAUUAUCAGAAAGAGUUCCCAUCCUUAUUGCUUUAUUGACCAUUUUGCACUCAUUAUUUUUAUAUAAACUUACUUGAGAAUUCUUCUGGUUGAGCAGUGGCCGUAUUCCACCAUCUCCUCAAGAGUACCCAAUUUUAGGUCUCAACCUGUUGAGACUCCUUGUGCAGAAUGGAAUAGCUGAGUUCUAUACCAAGCAUGCUGUUGAGUUGGAGCAAUCUUUCAUGGAAGGGGCCUAUAAUCAUGUUUUGAGUGCUAGGCAGACGGUGCGUCAUGAGACUUAUGUUUAUUUUAUGGACCUUCUGGCUGAGACAGUCAGGUAAUUACUGUGCCUUUGUUGUUAAGAUGUUAAAUCGGUCAAAAGAUUUGAAGUUAGCUUCAACUGGAUACUAUUGGAUCAGUAAUCAAUAGAAUUAGAUAUGCGUCUCUUCCUAUAUUUGCAACAGAUGGUAUUUUUGGGAAUCUGUAGCAUUUUUGAUGGGAUGAUUGAGUCAUAUACCUGUGUGGCUUUUUGUUGCUUUUAUAUUAAAAUACAAGAGUACAUGGCCUGUACUAAUUGCUAUCAACCAUCGCAAUAUACAAAUAGAAGCAUGAAGUGUGACCCAUCCAGAUUUCAAGGUUUUAGUCAAAUAGUGAGAUUGUCAUACUUAAAGAUUCUUUUAUGUGUGCUUACUCUAUUCUUUCCCUUUGUACAACAGAGAUGAAAUUGCUAGUUGUAGUGAGAAAGCAUAUGACUAUUUGUCUAUUAGUGAUGCACGGGCAAAUGUUGCUAUGCUCCUCUAACCAAGAACUGGCGGAAUAUGUCAAGGAGGUAAAAUUAAUGAGAGGACUUUAGCUGGAGUUCUCUACCUGGAAUUCUAUUCUAAUUGACUAAUUAAGUCAGUAGGAUAAUAUACUCUCCUCCAUCAGUUCAGACCUUUGGAAGGUCGCAUAAAACCUUUUCUAUGGCGUUGUUAGUUUAUAUCCUUUUCAAUGAUUAUGAUAAUUUAUCCUAUUCUGGGAUCAUAGACAGAUAUAAUACUUACACUUGUUGCAUCUACUUGGUCAUUUGGCCCUUGCUGUCACUCUGCUGGGGUCAAACUUGGCUGGUGGGUUCAGUACUAAAACCUCGUGCUUGUAGAAGUGCUGAUGUAGAUAGUAAACAGUAGAUUCAUAUCCAUGUAAAAAGCUGCAAUGUGGAGCCUGAACAUUUCUAUCUCCGUUGGAAUGCAGGAACAUCCCGAGUGGGAGAUUAAGAGUGGGUUUGCAUAUUUCUAGAAGGCAAAGGAAUCUGCACCUUCGAAGGAAAUUCCAUCCCCGCAGCUUACCAAUCAGACUUUGAGUUACGCAAGAGAGUUGGAGCGGAUUGUUUAGGACCUUCUGCCGUGCACAGUGGUUUGCACUGGUAUUUGCACACUUCAGAGAUUGGUUAUAUUGUGCUAACGGUGUCUUACCUUUUGCCCAUUUCGAGAGACUUGAUAUUUUUUUUAAUGUCUGUAACUUUAAUUGAUCAUUAUGAUGGAAUUUAUCUCAGUGAUCAAGUUAGUACUCAUAUCCAUGUCAUUUCUUUGAACACCAUUUUGUAUUUGGUCAUAGGAUAUUAUCCUUGUCUUGCCUGCUUGGAAGAAGCAGAUAUCGAAAUCAGUGUUGUCACAUGGAGAUGGACAACUUGGAGAACGCACAUGUCGCUCUUAAUCAAACCCUAUGAGUAGACCAAGAUACAAUUAGGUUUAACCCGUAGUUAUAGUAGAAUUGAAUCUAUGCACAGUUGCUGAUAUCAAUUGCAUAGGCCAACUAGGGUUGCUUGUGUCCAGCUCAAUUAACUUUGAGUUCAGUGGGUUGAAGCUGCGGGCUUCUGCAUACGCUUGAUUGUUAGUGCAUAGGAUAUGUUUGGUUUCAGGACCACUAGUGGGGUUGCUGAUGGAGCCACAAUCUCAUGCUAACGGCAAGCAUUUCAGGCACCACUUUCCCAGAACAAUAUCUAAAUGAGCAUUGAAAGAGAUUGAACUAAGUUUGUGUCUUUGCUAAGAUUUCUUCACUACACUUAGAGUAGAUUAUAUUUAGUGGCGUUUUGACAAGCUAUGUCAGCCAGAGCUGGCUUAAGGGAAAAAAUCAGUUUGCGGGAUUUGGGAGCCCUGGCCAACUGUAUUAUCUCCAACCAGUACCUCAAGCACCAAACACCAAGCUAUUAGUUCAGCACUCGAGAUUAGUGUCCCAGCAAAGAUCUAAUUUAACGAGCUGCAGCACUUGGCCCUCAAUAAGGAACUUUCCAGUUUUGUUUGCAUGCACGAAUGAAUAAAAACCAAUAGAUGAUUAUGUCCAGCUGCAGGAGCUUGGUCAGUUUGAAGAGAACUCAAAGAACUCGGAAAAUAAGUUAAAGUGUGUAGUUGCAUCAUGAGCUGAAAGUAUGUGCAAUGUGCUCGGCUUAGACAACUCCAAUAAUUAAUGCAGUCGACUCUAUAAUUUCUUUUUUUUCUUGAAGGAAAAUUUUAGCCCAAUUUGUAAUUGAUUUUUUGAAUUGGUAAGGACUGACUGAACCAGUGAUAUAAAAAUAUGUACAUGCAACUAAAGAAUUCAUUUAAUUCUUUUUUAAGGGAAAAAGAAAGAACUGGCUCUGCACCUUACUAAGCGAAUUACGGAGCACUGACCCCGCAAUUUACAUAUAAGGCCUUCAAGAAAGGAAAUUCAAUCAAAAUUUAAAAUAAAAAUGUGGGAUUUCCUUCCUCGUAUCUGAUCAACAAAUGGUUUCUCCAGUAAGAGAAAUUCUUGCUCCGAAUUGAGAUGAUCGUAGAUCGUCCCGAUCAAUCCAAUUGAGCUCCGAAUUGAGAUCAUUGCUACUGCACCGUCGCUCUUCUCGUCCCCGAUUCCGUUCUUAUUUGUUUCGCACACGACGGUUCUACGGCCCUUCAAUCCGUCUCCCGUUAUCAAAGCUUUGAUUUUUUUGCAGCAUCUGGAUGUGAAUUUCUCUCAAUAUUGUCCCUCCUUUCGUGCUUGAAAGAUUCUCGCGUUAUCAAAGCUUUGAUUUUUUUGCAGCAUCUGGAUGUGAAUUUCUCUCAAUUUUGUCCCUCCUUUCGUGCUUGAAAGAUUCUCGAGAGAGUGAUGUGGAAUGUCGUCUGCUUUUGCUUGUUUUGUUGAUGCUCUCUGUAGUCUCUCGUUAUGGCUGUCUGCAGUGGAAGAAGCUGCGGUUAGGCACUUUAAAGAAUUUACAGACAUUGAGAAACUUUAGUCCGAAGAAAUGUGAUGUGAACGAUUUAGGCAAUCUGACCAAUCUACAAAAACUAACUAAAUCCGAUUGGAAUGAUCCUAUCGAGUUGGAGAUAUGUGUGCGACUUGCUAAAUUCAAUUUGAAGCAUAUUUGAUCCUCGUUUUUUAUUUCACAAUCUUUGAUCAACCAUAGACUAAAGGUGAAUUGAGUAAAAUGUCAAACUGUUGUAAUUCCUAUAAGCUGUCCACAGGCGGGCAAAUAGAGAAGUUAUCGAAACAUAAUAGUCUAUCCCAACAAUUGAGUAAGUGAGUCUUACUAUGGUUUGAACUCGAAGAAGAUCCAACGCCAAUAUGGGAGAAAUUGGAUCCCUUGAUUGUUCUCAUGCUAGGGAUUUUUGCUUUCUUAGGAAAGGAAAUAGUUUGCUCUAUAGGAGGCUUUCCUCAACACAAGCAUUUAAUUAUUUAUGCUCUGCUUCAUUUGGAGGAGUGGGGAGUUGUUGAAGAAGCCAUGCCUCUUCUUUCUCGAUUUGGGAUCAGCGAUGUCCCAACUUGAAGACAGUACCUAAAGAAGUAUCACAUGUCUUCACAUGAUGGUUUGGACAAAAUAUACGAGGAGUUUAGGCCUGCUUAUGAGAGAGAAAUUGAAGUGGUGGCCAGGGGUGGCCUCAGCUGUCCGGCGAGAAAAAGGGAGACAGAGAGGGGCGGGAGCUUGUGCGUUGUCUAGAGGUGGGCCCCCCAAAAUAAUAGCAGAUAUGGGAAAUGGAAAAUUGAUGAGUAACCGCAAUGCUUUAUAAAAUUGAAGAGAGCAAAUAUCUAAUCUAAUAUAUUAUAAGUGAAAAUAGACCAGUACGGCAUUCCUUGAUAGAUUUUCCAUGUCUUCUUUUUAUCAUAAAAACAUUGUUCGUUUCGUUUUCCCUCACAUCCUUGAAGACUUCAAUCAGUUAGGGGGAAUCUAUUGUUUCGCACGCUCUCGCAAUAACUCCCGACUUUGCUCAUGGAAGACUGCAAAGUUCUUGCGAGCGCCGUUCAUCGCUUCUCCAAACGACGCUUGAUGGGAGAGGCAUCUGAAGAAAUGAGAGCCGUCGCUUGUGGUGUUGGAAGACGUCAUCGUGGAAGCUGCUGCAUUGGAGAGGAGAGAAGAUUCGAUCAUUUCCAUAGUGCUUGUCAGAUGUUUGACGAAAUGCAGUCGUGGAGUAGAAACUGGGGUACAUAAAUCUGAAAUCGCAUGGUGCUUUCGGUUUGUGCAAUUUAUUUCUUUGUACAUAGAUAAAUAAUGACGGCAAAUACAACAGUGCAUUUUGCAACUCCCAGUCUCCUACACGUAAGGCUGCAAGAAACACUUAAAGAUUCUUUUAUGUGUGCUUACGUUACUCUUGCCCUUUGAACAACAGCGAUGAAAUUGUUGGAUGGAGUGAGAAAGCAUAUGAUUAGAACUUUCAACCUUGUCCUUGUGUUUUACAGACUACGGAUGUGUGAAAUGUUCUUAGAGGAUGGAGUCCUUUCUCAGCACUCACUAGCGAUAAGAACUCAGAAGCACCACCUGCGAUAUACCUUACCAGGCACACCUCCCUUCACAAGAUUUAUCCGUUGGUUUAUUAGGACACAAAAUUUGGUGUUGGCUCAUGCUUAGUAACUUUCUCUCAGUUUCAGAAGCUAAGAAUCUGUGAUACUACAUGACAAUUAGCAAAAUGUCCAUAGGCUAAAAUUGUAUGACCCAUUUUCUGGUUUAAAUACCAUAGGAUAUUGCACGUAGCAAGAUUGGUCUAUCAGAGGAAGAAAAUUCAUGAGUUACAGAACUACUUUUCUUGUUCUUCGGACAUCUUGAGGACGUGAUCUUUUAUGACUGAUUCUCUUCUGAAUUGCCAUUAUAUCCCCACAUGAACAUCCAGUACCCGUUGGAACCCUGAGGAUCCACUUUAAUUUAUACUCAUGUUGAGAGGAAUAGGGACUGAUAUCGAGCGAUAUUCACGCAAAAACAAUUGUCUCUUCAAGGCCUUGCUUAGCAUGCGGAAGGCUAGAAAGGACAGCAAGCUAUACAUGUUCUUGGAUGAGAACUAAGUAGAACAGGGGAUAAAAGAAAGCGGAGAAACCCAUAUCACAGUUUCUUUGCACCACAGGUAUGACCUAUGCUGUAUUUGUUAUGGUAGCUUAAGCUAGCUUAAGAUUUUGAGAAUAAUUUAAUGCAAUAAGAAACCAAACAAAAAGAAAGUCCUGAUAAAAUCACACAGUUUCAACAAGGAAUUCCUUUGGAAGAUCGUUGCCGCUCUAUAGUUUAUUGUUCACUCUUGCCUGUUAUUACAGAUAGGAAAGGUAUAUAAUAAAGAAUGUUUCGGAAGCUGAGAUACUGUUUCCUCUUGGUAAUUAUAUAAUGAUAGGCUCACAGGUCAGAAAACACAACUAAAACUGGGCAGCCCUUGGAAGGAACCAAUAAAAUGGCUUAAGCAACUAUUUAUCACAGUUCAGUUUGAUCACUAAGAAGCUGCUGCUACAUGAUCCGCAUGCUAAGACACAGGUAAAACUGGGCAACUUUCAAGGGCCUGGUAUGUGUUAUCUAAUGCAGCAUCUAAACCGAGCAUCUUUCUCGAUAGGAAUUGAAUGAGCAUUGUCUACAAAUGAACGGUCUAAGAUGCAACUUUGACCUGCCAUAUAGAUAUUUGAAGACAUGAAAACAUACACAGUAUUAUUUCUACUUCCUCAGCCGAACUUCUUCACCAUGCGUUCACUUGUCUUAAUUUUAACUAAUAUCUCAGAUUAACGUGCGUGGCCUCUUUCCAUUUCGAUAUGUAAGUAUAGUGUACCUCAAUAUGUUGAAUAGCGCUGCAAAUACAUUGAUUAUGUUGUAUAAAUAUGAAGUGUUUCAGACCAGACACCUACAAAUGAACUUGGCACUAAAACAGUCCCCAUAAAAACAAGAGCUCGAUUGUACAAAUUUCAAAUGCGAUAGGCACGAGAUUUUUGAGCACUCCAUUCAGAUUCUCGAUAGUAGCAAUACAGUCAAUUAAGCAAUGACCAUUGUUCAAAAUCCAAGAUCAAAAUUGGGACACUCGGCUGUCACUUUCAAUUGAUCCCUAUCUCCUUCAGGGGUCUUCAAUUCAUCAUCAGCAUCACCCCAAGAAUGCGUGAAAGAGAUGCUUUAGAUGCAAGGCUUGUUGCCGCAACAUUUGGGGUCAGCUUGCUCGUGAGAAGGCUGGAAGCGAUAACUGGACCAGAUGUAUAUGCUAGUCAUACAGAAUUCAGUGCAAUUGAGAAUGUCCACUAGGUGAAUACAUAACUAGAUUUUGGUUUCCUACCAGCAGUUGCUACCUGCAGCUAAUUUGUUUCUGCUUGUAUCGUAGUCUGCACCAAAGAAUUUCAACAAACAUCAAGACUCAUGAAGUUCUAGUGGAGUUUCAAGAUGCUUAUAGUCACAACGUUGCCCCCAAUGGUAAAAAAAGGAGCUGAAAGAAUUGAUUACCGUAAAUUUAACAGUACAGGUAGUUGUGGAAUGGGUGGGAGUUGCCAAUUUCAAAGCCCCCCGUAGAGUGAAAUCUGAUGAAAUUUUACAAUGUAGCUAAGGAAACAUAAACUAUGAGAAAGCUAACAUUAAAAUUUAAAAGAAUGCUGAAUUGAAAGAAAUCAUGGCUAAGCCAACCUUUUUAGACUUCAUGGGACUAGGUAACGUUCAUUGCCAAAGUUAUCAGUUAGAUUUCCAGUGUCGCAUGCUCCACUGAAGCUAGUUUAGCAGCUGGCGCUGUGUCUUUCAGCAACAUCAUAAGAAUUAUCCGAAUGCUGAAGCUCCUCUAUUAGUGAAGCAAAACCUGCCUUCCUCUCGUAUGACUUCUCUGCAGCAGCAACUUGAUCUAAUGGUUUUCGUAGGACAGAUAAUAUUUGAUAGGCUGCAUCGAUUGGAUUACAAGAGCUCAUUUGCAAGCUGGAGUAAGUAAUACAACAUAGGUUCCUCCAAUAAACAUGGGUGUUAACUUUGAAGGAAAUGCAAAAUAAAGGGGGACAGCAAUGCAUCGACAUCAAUGCGACCGCUCCCAAGCUUAGUUUAACGACAUUUUUCUUUCAAGACCAGGUUCAUGAAACAAUCCAUCCACUUUGUAGUUCAUUUACGUGAAAAAAUAUUUUCAUUUUACUUGUUAAAUAUCUAAAUUAUAUAAAAUAUUAAUGACAAUAUCAAUUGUAUUCAUUAAUUCAUUUGUCAAAAGUUGUUCCUAGAUUCUUUAUUUGUCAUUGAUACCAGUUUGAGGUUUUUUUUUUGUGACCAAAUAAUUAGUUAAAAGUAAAUAUGUCACAUGUAUAUCAACUUGGGAAUUUGUCAUAUGUAUAUCAGAGAACCAUUCGUCACUUUAUCAAUCAUGCACACUCCUUCAUAUGCUCCAUGUUAAACCUCAUCAAUCAGUUACAGGUUUGAAUUGUGCAGAGUUGAAAUAAUUCUCACUUCAAUUGGGGUCAAAGAUAUUUUUUCCCCCAGAAAUACACAUAAAUAAUCCACACUGAUGAUAGGGGAAAAUGAAACCAACAAAAUGGAAAAAUUGCAAAAGGAUAAAUUAUGAUAAUGUAUACGUGAGCUUCGAAAUUAUUGCACCCACUGCCGAAAAGAGAGAAUCUAAGUUCCAGUUCAUCCUUGAAAAAAUGACAGGCUCCUAUAAAUAUGAUGCAAUCAAUUUUAGAGAUGAUUGAUGUGUAAACUAAACUUCAGCUAGCGGUCUAACUUGUUGCCCGAGUUUGGGACCGACAAUAUAGAUGCAACUUUCAGCUAAGUGGAUCCUCAAUUCCAUUGUUAACAAUUCAAUUUUUAACGAGUAUAGCAGGCUCAAAUUCUUCAAUGCGAUGGUGAUUUCCUUUUCUCAAGCAUUCUUUCUUGAACUUCGAUCAUCAAUUCUUUACACAAGAGUUUCUCUUCUGUCACAUCCAACUCUCCUAAUUCAUUGAACAUCUUACUCAUGCCAAAUGUCUUUUCUCAAAUAUGCUGAAAAUAAAGGAUUAAAUAAGGUACCAUGCUGGUAUAAAAUACUUUUCAAACAAGCGACGAUAAAAGGGAAUCUCAAUGGAAUGCAUUCAUUUAUUAAAAUUAAAUACAAUAUACAUGUCAGCACUAGAACUGGGCUUGUUUAUGAUUUCUUUUCCUAUCAUCAGUGUACAAAAUAAAAGUGAGAAACAAGUAUUGAUAGAUAUAGAGAUGUUCAAGCUCGGCACUCGGGAGCCACUCAGGAUGUUCCUUCGCCUUCUGGAAAUAUACAAACCCACUAGGGAUGUUCCUGCAUUCUAACAAAUAAAGAAAUGUUCAGGCUCCCAAAACUUUUGACAUAGAUGAAUUCUUCAACACACCAUGAAUCUACUGUUUGCUAUCUACGUCGGCACUUCUUCAAGCACGAGGUUUCCGUACAGAGCCCACCUUGCAGGCCAGACGACACGUAGAUGUGGUAAGUGUCAGUUUUAUGUCUGUCCGGAGUACCAGGACAGGAUAAACUAUCCUAACCAUUGAAACGGACAUAAAUUAGCAACCCCUUAGAAGAGGUUUUAUGAGACUCUUCGUAGGUCUGUAGUGGUGCUGGAGAAUAUAUUAUCCUUUGGAGUUAACUAGUUAAUUUACAACAGGAUUCCCGGUAGAGAAAGCUAAAAAAUUUCUCGUCGCAGGAGAACAGCAACAUUUGCCAUGCGUCUUUACCAAAAAAAAAAAAAAAAAAACAUUUGCCAUGCGUCACCUAUCGACAAAUAAUCAUUUGCUUUUCUCGCUACAUCCAGCAACUUCAUCUCUGUGUAUCCAAUAGGAAAGAAUAAGGUAGGCACACAGAGAAGAAUAUUUAGAUAUACAAAGAAACGAAUCACUCAUUCGGCAAGCAACACGCCGAUUUCGGCUUUUAGCCGCCCCAGUUUCUACUCUCGCCCGCGCAUUUCGUCAAACAUCUGACCAGCGCUGCGAAACGCUCGGAUCUUCUGCCCUUUCCAUUGCAGCUUUCGUGGCGACGAUUACAACACCACGAGCGAUGACUCGUUUUUUCAUAUGCCUCCCAUCCAGCGUCUUUUUGGAGAAGCAUGGAAUUCGCUCCACCUCCUCCCGCGUGCCCUUCGCCCUUCAGCCUGUCCCCUCCCGGCGCUUGGGAGAACUUCGCAAUCUUCCAUGAGCAAGUCGCGAGUUCCUCUCCUCUCCACAGGGAGCGAAACGACGGAUUCCUCCCGAAUUAAAGUCCAAGAGGAUGAUAGGGAAAACGAAACGAACAGAAUGGGCAAAAUUGCAGAAUGGAUGGAAUUUUUUAUAAUGAAUACGUCAUGUCAGCUUCGAAACAAUUGCACACAGAUGGCUGGAAAGAAGUAGCCUAGCGUUCUUGCGUGUAAUGCAAGGGCGCGUUGACUCAAUAGAGAAGACUAGAGCGUGAAAUAAAGAAAUACACGAAUUCGAUUAGUGCGCGUACGUCCGGUCUAACUUAAUAUUAGAUAAUAUAUAUAUAUAUAUAUAUAUAUAUAUAUAUAUAUAUAUAUAUAUAUAUAUAAGAUAUAAAUAUAUUCUGAAUUAAUUGUUUGAUCAUGAAAAUUCUCAAAUUGAUAUAUUAGUAACAAAUUUACUAUAAACUAAUUUUUUAAUUAGAAAAAAUCUUAAACUGGUACAUUUGUGACAAAUUUAUCCAAAUACCAAAAGCCCCAAACUAAUAUACUUAUGAUAAAUAGACCAUCUAUUAAAUUGAAUUAAUACCACGAAAAAUCACAAAACUCAUAAAUCUAUGGCAAAUUGAGGGUAAUCUAAAUUUGCACACUUGUCAACUGUCACGUAUCAUCUAAUUUAAUAAUUUAAAAAUAAAAUAACGAAAACUAAUCAAUAGUGAAUUUGUCAUAAAUGUACUAAUUUGUGAUUUUUGGUUCCUAUACUUUGUGGGGUAUUAGUGAUGAUGCCAUUAUUUUUUUAUAAAAGCCCAUGGUCUUUGAAAGAAUAAAAUAGUAUAGAUUUUUGGGUUUGGUCGGACAGUUCUACCAGUUUAGAGUAAUAAAAAAAUUAUUUUUGAGUAAAUUUAUCAUGGGUAUACCAGUUUAGAGUUUUUCGUAAUCAAAAAAUAAUUUUGGAUAAAUCCGUCACAGGUAUACUAGUUUGGAGUUUUUUGUAGUAUCAAACUUUUAACAAAUUAGACUAGUAUUUCCCGGAGGGGAAAAAAAAAGAUUGGCUCUAAUCUAGCUCUUGCACCUUAAAUUCAAGAGAACAAAGACCAAUUCAAUCAAAAUUAAAUUCUAGAGAUCAAAUUGAACAUUGAUUGAGAAUUUAGGGACCAACUUUGUGUUGAUACCCAAAUUUACUCCCGGAAUCACAUGCUGGUUACAAAGAAAUAUUAGGUGAAAUGCCCCGUUUUGAUUCAUGAAAUUAAAGGAAAACAGCUUUUGUGGAAGCUAUUUAAGCUAAGCCUCGAUGGAAUUCUGAAAGCCAAUCCUAAAGUCAAUGCCCAGGUAACUGAUUGCCACAUGUCAAGUUAUAGGGAUAGUGCAUCAGAUCAUUUAAGGGGAUAUAUGCUUAAAAUCAAGAAAAAAAAUGAGUUAGUUACCGUAGGUAUGUCUUCCCACAGUGGGCGAACCUUGUUUAAGCUUUUUAGGGACAGCCUUUUAGUGGCAAACUGCGCAAAGAUUUAGUUCAGAACAUAAAGACACUCAAGGGUGCCAAAAUAGUAACCUUUCUAACUAGCCGAGGUGCAUUUUUCAGAGAAUCAUACCAGGUUGGAGAAGAAAAGGUGUUUAAAGAGACAUUGGGAAUUUUCAUAAACACAUACUUUACUUCAAGGGAUUCUAUUCAACACAUUACAUCAAAUGGAACUCGAACAAGAAUAAUUGCUGCGAGAAAUGUGCAUAGAAAUAAGGAGCAGUUAUUUGCUUGAUGAACAAGCUGCACGAGCAUCAUCAACGGGUCUGAAAAUAGUUAUUAAAGGAUAAGGCUGUCAAAAAGAAAUAAAAAAUGUGGAGAAUGCGAAGGUAGUGCCUAAGGAAGAGCAACCGACUGAGGAAUAUCAAUCCACUUUAAAAAAACCGCAGCCCUUCUAGUGAAAAAGGCUCUCCGAACAACACAACAAUUAUCUUUACUUUACUUUUACUUUAUUGCACUUUAGCUAUAGCUUUUUAAGAUUUCCACCGUUGAUUAAAUUUCGAUGUGUAUUUCUAUUCAGUCCAGUAUCUCGAUUAAAUUUCGGUAUUGUUCCACAAGCCCAAUGUCAUUGAUUAAAUUCCGGCGUUGUGUUAUCUAUCUAGGAGUUUUGCUGUUGAUUAGAUUCCAACUUUACACCUAAGAAAAUUAUGUCGUCAAUUGAAUUACGGCAUAGUUUGAAUUCGAAGUUUAGACUAUCCAGUUACUAAUGUUCAGAUUACAUCAUUAAUUGGAUCUUGAUGUAAUUUGUGCUCAGCAGUGGUUAGCGUUGAUUGUCAAGGAUUCUACAUACAAGUUGAGAAUAAAUUCCCUUCACAGUUGACAUUCUCUGUCCAAGCUCAACACAAUCUUCUAUAUAAAAUCAAAACACAACGUUUGGUGAAAUUUUUUUCAUAGGAAUCAAAACCGGUGAAACACUUUGAUAUCACCUUCCCAUUUAAAUAUGGAGCCCAUUGGCCGAGUGAACACAUGCAUCUCCACCUUCCUUUUGCGCCAAUAACUCUAACAAGACAUCAAAGUCUUGUGAAAGUUGCAUUAUCAUAGAACACUGUCAAUUUACUCAUUUUGUUUGUUUCAUUUUCCCUCUCAUCCUUGUGAGCUUCGAUGGCGGAAUCUGUUAUUCCACUCGCUGUGGAGGAAUCUCGCAACUUGCUCUUAGGAGAUGCGAAACUCUUGCCAAUUUGGCGAGGGGAGUAGUGAAGGGCACGCCAGAGGGGGUGGCGCAAAUCAAGUGCUUCUCGAAAGACGCUGAUGCGAGACUAGAUGAAGUGAGUCAUUCCUCAUGGCGUUACAGAUGUCAUCGUCAAAGUCAAUGCUAAACCAAAGAAGAGGGAAGAUCCGAGCAUAUUUUUCAAAUGCUAGCCAGGUGUUCGACAAAAUGCCCAUGUGAGUUGAAUUCUACACAACGAAAUGGGAUGGGACUGUAUGCACUUAUGGAAGCAAAGCAGGUUGCGACCCUAAAGUCGACAAGCAAUAGCAGAACUGGGCCCUUCAUUUAAAGCUUUAGGGAAGCAGAUUCGAACAUGUAAAUAAUGGGCUUUUUGUUCAUUUGCCAUCCCACGGCCCGAGAGAAUAUGUGCACGUAAAAAUGCAUUAGUCCUCAACCCUUUUCUUCAAAAAAGUUCGAUCAAAUCAAAUCUCCGCCGAGCAAAUAAUUCACAACUUUAAUUAGAUUAUUAAUUGAAAUAUUUUAAGAUCUUUUCAACUCGAUCCAUCAACUCCAAUCGAAGCAUAUCCUUCUGCAUCAUUUCUUAAUCAGAGAAAAAGUGCCAAAUGAAAGAAUAGAAACGGACCAGAGAGAGACAGACAACGCAAGCCAGGGACAACAGUACAUCACUGUUGGGGAUCAAGAGUGCCUUGUCCCAUUACAGCACGUGCUUGAAGCAUAUGCCUUCAAGUCAUUGAGGGCGCAAGAUAACUAUUUUAUUUUUGGUCAGAAAUAUUUUUUUGUUUCUGGAACGCUGAUGCGAGACAUUCCUCGUGGCAUUGCAGAUGUCAAUGCCAUCGUCAAAGUCAAUGCUAAACCAACGGAGAGCGAAGAGCCGAGCAUAUUUUCAAAUGCUGGCCAGGUGUUUGACAAAAUGCCCACGCGAGUUGAAUAUCUAGUCAACGAAAUGGGACUGUGUGCACUUAAGGAAGCAAAGCAGGUUGCGGCCCUAAAGUCGAUGAGCAAUAGCAGAACUAGGCCCUUCAUUUAAGGCUUUAGGGAGAUCGAUUCGAACACGUAAAUAAUGGGCUUUGGUUCAUUUGCCAUCCCACGGCCCAAGAGAAUAUGGGCAGGUAAAAAUGCAUGAGUCCUCAACCGUCCAAAAAAAUUCGAUCAAAUCAAAUCACCGAUGAGCAAAUAAUUCAAAAGUUUGAUUAGAUUGUAAAGAAUUUAGAUCCGCCUGAAUUAAUUGAAAGAUUUUAAGAUCUUUUCAACUCGAUCCAUCAACUCCAAUCGAAGCAUAUCCGUCCGGAUCGUUUCUCGAUCAGAGAAAAAGGACCAAAUGAAAGAACAGAAAGGGACCAGAGAGAGAGAGACUGAUAGCGCAAACCAGGGACAGCAGUACGUCACUGUGGCGUACCAAGAAGUAACCUUAUCGCAUUUUCAGAAUAUGCUCGAAGCAUAUGCCUUCGAGUAACCGAAAGCUCUAUCUCGCACAGCGCUAAUUAUUACCAUAUCGGCAUUAUCAUCGCGUUACGGGCCAACUAAGUCUUGAUAGGUGGGGUCAUAAUCAUGCAACACAACAAAAGAUUCGAUUUCAUAUAAUUAAGAAAUUUGUACCUAUUUUCUUUCCCUCAAUGAGGAAAAAAAAACCAUCAAGAAAGAGUAGCUAUAGCUAUGAAUUUUUACAAAGCUUAUGAGAAUUUAGAGGUAAUUGAUAAUAAAAAUAUAUCAGCACACAGGGAGCUAUUGAAAUUGUUCGAUCUAUCUUCGGAAAGUUGAAUCAUCCCUCAUCUUUGAUUAGAGGUAGUUUGCCAUUAGGAAGCAACUCUUGUAAAAUCAGCACAAGUUGUUGCACAUCAUUUUUCAAGCCCAUGAAAUAGAAGCCGCGUGUUGCUUUUGGUUUAUAUAGUAAAAUUCUUGCAUGUAGAUGAACAACGAAACAUAAACUAUCAAACUCAACGAGAAAAACAGAAAACUGUGAUUAAAUAAAUACCAAUUGGCUUUUUCAAUACAUAUUAGUCAAAAGGACGAGCACCUCCUCAGAUUUCUUCUCAUAAUUUCUGCAGCUCCUGUGCUUCGUUCUUUCUUUACAAUUUUUCGUGCGGUUGUCCAUCAAAGGGACCCAACAAAGACAAAAAAAUAAGAGACAAAGCAUUGGUGGUCGGAACGUGAAGCAUGAAGAAAGAACAACCUCUCUCGUGUUUUGCCAUUCUAUGUAGAAUUCCUGUGAUGAAUUUUUAGUUCCGACUGCUCACGCCCUUUUUUUUUUAAUGACAAUUUCUGUUUAUUGACUACCCUGCCAUGUGCAUUGGCUUUCUUUACAUCUCCUCUUCUUACGGUUGUCUGGGCAAAAGUGUUUCCUGUAGAAGUUGUCACUUAUCAACCUAACUUUUUCGCCGCCUCUUUCGGUGCCGAUUGUUGAAUCUUGCAUGUGAGAAGUCACAUCAUUAUCUUAUGGAAAACCUUGGCGUGAGUGGGAGAGAGAGAGCCUCCUCUCCUUUCCUAGUUUUGAGAGCCUCUAUCAUUAUCUUUAUCAAAGGGACCCAACAAGCACAAAAUGAGAAGAGACAAAGCAUUGGUGGUAGAAACGGGAAGCAUGAAGCAUGAAGCAAGAAGCAACCUCUGUCGUUUCUCACCAUUCUUUACUGCGUCCCUGUAACAAACUUUUAGCUCCGAAUGCUCAUUUCUUCUCUUUUUUCUUUUUUGACAAUUUAUUGACUACCUUACCACGUGCAUUGUUUUCUUUACAGUUUCUUUUGUUACAGUUGUGUGGACAAAAGUGUUUCCUGUAGGAGUUGUUUAUCUACUAAAUUUUUUCUCCGUCUCUUUCGGUGCCGAUGGUUGAAUUUGGCAGAUGAAAGGUCACAUCUUAAUUUUAUGGGUAAUCCUUCCCUACCCUACCACGUGCAUUGGUCUUUCUUUACAGUUUCUUUUGUCACGAUUGUGUGGACAUAAGUGUUUCCUCUAGGAGUUGUUGUUUAUCUACUAAUUUUUUUCUCCAUCUCUUUCGGUGCCGAUGGUUGAAUUUGGCAGAUGAAAGGUCACAUCUUAAUUUUAUGGGUAAUCCUUCCCUACCCUACCACAUGCAUUGAUCUCUCUUUACAGUUUCUUUUGUCACAGUUGUGUGGACAAAAGUGUUUCCUGUAGGAGUUGUUGUUUAUCUACUAAAUUUUUUCUCCAUCUCUUUCGGUGCCGAUGGUUGAAUUUAGCAGAUGGAAGGUCACAUCUUAAUUUUAUGGGUAAUCCUUCCCUACCCUACCACGUGCAUUGGUCUCUCUUUACAGUUUCUUUUGUCACAGUUGUGUGGACAUAAGUGUUUCCUGUAGGAGUUGUUGUUUAUCUACUAAAUUUUUUCUCCGUCUCUUUCGGGGCCGAUGGUUGAAUUUGGCAGAUGAAAGGUCACAUCUUAAUUUUAUGGGUAAUCCUUCCCUACCCUACCACGUGCAUUGGUCUCUCUUUACAAUUUCUUUUGUUACAAUUGUGUGGACAAAAGUGUUUCCUGCAGGAGUUGUUGUUUAUCUACGUGCCGAUGGUUGAAUUUGGCAGAUGAAAGGUCACAUCUUAAUUUUAUGGGUAAUCCUUCCCUACACAUGUGAAUGAAAGAAGUGAUUGAAAGGAUUGAUUGAAAGAAGUGACAGCGAGCCUCAUCUUCUGAUCCUAUGCUAUGCUACUUUGAAGGCUUUUUAUAAAUUUAUCAAGAAUCUUAUUAAAAAAUGCUUUAAGACACUAAUUAACCAUUCCUAAUCAAGAAAAAAUUUCAUUUUCAUUAUACCAUUUGUGCAAUAUAUGAGAAAUUCUUCCACCCAAAACUUUCAAAUAUCAAGAUUAGACUUUUAGACUCCAUUCAUUUUGUAGAAAAUAUGACGUUCCGACCACCAUCAUGGCCGGUGACUGGCCAAUACCAAGUAAGAAAAUACCAAGUAAGAAGAAGAAAGGAAAAGAAAUUAAAAAUUUGGUUAUUAAAAAAAGAAAAAUAAUAAUAAUAUAAAAUAAUAAUGAAAAUUAGUUUGGUGAAAAAAGUGAAAUGAAAGAAAUUAUGGAAAAUAUUUUUUAUUUUUGAAAACUGGAAAAUAUUUUCUCACUUUUGAAAGUGUUUUUUUUUAAUAGUGAAAUAUUUUUCUUAAUUAACUUAUUUUUCGUGAAAUAAAUGUUGGAAAAUUCGAAAAACAUUCUUCAAUAAGUUAUUUUUCAUGAAAUGAAUGGAAUGUAACAGUGGGUUUGUAUUUUUUAAGAAGGCCAAGGAAUCUGUACCUUCAUAGGAAAUUCCUUCCCUGUGGCUUAUCAAUCAGACCUUCGGUCAUAUAUUGUUUAGGACCUGCCUUUGCGUUGGUUUGCACCGGUGUUUGCACCUUUCAAAGAAUAGUUGUUUUGGGCUGAUGGCAUCUCACCCCUUUUGGCCAUUUCGAGAAACUUGAUAUACUUUUUAAUGUCUAUAACUUUAUUUUGUCAUUGUGAUGGAAUUAAUCUCGACGAUGAAGUUGAUACUCAUAUCAAUGUUGAAUAUGAUUUUGUAUUUGAUCAGUAGGAUAAUUUCCUUAUAUUAGCUACCUGGAAGAAGCAGAUAUCAAAAUUAGUGUUCUCACAUGGAGAUAGACAACUCGAAAAAUGCAUUCGUCCCUCAUAAUCAGUCUGACCCCAUGAGUAGACCUAGAUAAAAUCAAGUUUAACAUGUUGUUAUAGUGGAAUCGGCUCUAUGCACACUCGGUGACAUCCACAGUCUUCGUUGGUCAAUUUUAUAGUGAAUAAUUUGUAUGGAAAGUGUUCCUUAUCCAUUUACCUUGCGCCACACACCAGACGCAUACAAAAUAAAUUUUGUGCCUCAUCAUGUAGCAAAAUUGAGAUAUAAUGCCUUCAUAAAUGUUAAGGAAUCACGACCCAGAAGUUAUCUGGUUUGAUUUGUGAUAUCCUCCAAGCAAAUCGAAAAAGGAGAGCUUAAUUUGCGCAAAUAAUAGUCGAAGAAGAGGGAAAAAACUGGGGAAAGUUUCAUGUUCCAAAAUGAGCGCUGGAUUUGUGUACGGAGGAAGAAGUGUUGAUUAAAAACUGCUUUUGUUUUUUUAUGGAAAUCCUCCGUUUUAAAGUCCGCAUUUCUCCAAAGAUUUUUUUUUUUUCAAAUAUCGAACCAAACGCAUCCUUAAUUUUUCUCAAAACACAAAAUCUUAUGCCUUGAUAGCCACAUUUAGAGAGAAAAUUGCCAUGACUCUUCAAAUGGUUAAAAAGUUGUACCUCGUCUCUGCCAUUGGAUGUCCGAGAGAUGCAUCGUGGAUCGGGAGGCAACAAACUAAUCCUUGCCAUUAGAUCUGAGUCUUCUCCUAACGGAAAUUGAAUUUUGCUCGAUAAUUUUUUCGUGCAAAAUUCCAUGGCGCAAUAAGAUGAUUUUGAUAUUUAAAGUUCUAAACACCACAAUUCAUUAAUUGUUUCUGACUUUUGUCUUAUACACGACAGUGUGAAAAAUAAUUACACAAGCCGAGAUCAAGCAUGGAUACGUAUACUACUUUCAAUAUUAAUAAAUGACUUCAUUUCAUUGACUUUCCAUUUUACUAUCGCAUGUUUAAAAAAUAAUUUACACCAGCAUUGUACCCUAUUUGAUCCAUUAUUUUUAGCAUGUAUAUGAGGCAAUAGGAGUGGAAUUAUACAAGAAAAGAUAUUUAGCAUGGGUGAGGCGCUCGACCGGUCAAGAAAGUUGGAUAUGAAUGAAAGGAAGCUCUUGAUUGAAGAAUUGAUGAUCGAACUUCAAAAAAAGAAAACUCCAAAAAAGGAAAUCACCAUCGCUUCGAAGAAUUUGGGCCUACAAAGGUAUGCCUAUUGUUACUUGAAUUGUCAACAUUGGAAUUGAUGAUCCAGUUGGUUUUUUUUUUUUUUUUUGACGAGAACCAAAGCCGAUGAUAUUAGAUAAUAGGCGAAGCUAAUACAGCAUGAGCAUCAUUACAAAGUAAAUCCAGAAGAGCAGAAGGGGGACUAGUCGCCCAGUUGAUAGGAAGAAAAUCAAAACACCGGGCUUUUGCAACCCAGUCAGCAACCCGAUUAGAAUUUCUACUAGUUGAAAGUCACAUAUUUUAAAUGUGGGUCUCAAACUCGAGGAACAAGUUAGACCGCUACCUUAGGCUCAGCUCACCCAACGAUCAUCUGUAACAUUGAUUUUUUUUUUUUUUUUUUUUUUUGUGGUUGAAAUCUCUAAAAUUGAUUAUAUCAUAUUUACACCCGAUGCCUAUCUUUUCUCUUUUCAACAAUGAACUGAAAAUUAGAUUGUGUCUUUUCAGCCAUUGGAUGCAACACAUUAUCAUAAUUUAUCCAUUCUGGAUUUACCCAUUUUUUUGGUUUCUUUUUCCCUCUCAUCGUUGUUGGCUUCAAUUGCAGAAUCUGUUAUUUCACUCAUUGUAGAGAGAUCUCGUGACUUGCUCGUAGAACAUGCGAAACUCUUGCGGGUUUCGCGAGGGCACAGGGGAAGGGCACGCGAAAGGAGGGGACGCAAAUCCCAUGCUUCUCGAAAGAUGCUGAUGAGAGGCUAGACGAAGCCCGAGUCAUUCCUCGUGGCGUUGCAAAUGUCAUCAUCGAAGUCAAAGCUAAACUAAAGAAGAGGGAAAGAUCCGAGCAUUUUGCAAAUUGUGGUGGGCAUUUGACAAAAUGCUCGUAUGAGUUGAAACUGUCUUCCAGUGCAUGAAAUAGAAGCGGCAUGUUACUUUGGGUUUGUAUAGUCCAAUUCUUGCAUUUAGAUGAAUAAUGAGACGUAAAAUAUGUACUCAACGAGAAAAAUGAAAAAAACCGUGGUUAAGAAAACACCAAUUGGCUUUUUCAAUACAUAUUAAUCAAGGGGACGAGCAACAACGGUUAGGCACCUCCUCAGAUUCCUUCUCAUAAUUUCUUCAGCUCCCGUGCUUCGUUCUUUCGUUACAAUUUUUCGUGCAUUUGUCCUUCAAAGGGGAACCAAAAAAGACAAAAAGAAAAGAAAAGAGACAAAGCAUUGGUGGUCGAAACGUGAAUCUCGUUUCUCACCAUUCUUCAUAGAAUCCCUGCCAUAAGCCUGCGAUUGCUCGUCAUUUCUGACAAUUUCUGUUUAUUGACUAAACUACCAUGUGCACUGGUCUUUCUUUACCCCUUUUCUUACAAUUGUCUAGGCAGAAGUGUUUCCUAUAGAAAUUGUAAUUUAUCUGCCAAACUUUUCUCACCCACUGUCGAUGUCAAUUAUUGAAUCCGGCAGAUGUGAGAUCACAUCAUAAUCUUAUGGAAUCUUUCUCUAAACAUGCAAUGGAAGUAGUGAGAGGGAGCGAGGGAGCCUCCCUCCUUUUCUACUUUUGAGAGCCUUUAAAUCUUAUUAAAGAGUGCUUUCAACGACGCUAAAAUAACCAUGCCUACUAACAAAAUGAUUUUCAUUUUCAUUAUACUAAUUGGGUAAUAGAUGAGAAAUUUUUCCACCAAAAACUUUCAAAUAUUGAAAUUGAUUUUACAUGCAAAUGUAUCGUAUACUCUUUAUCAAAUCUUUUGUAUUUAUAUUAAUUCAAUUUAUCCAAACAAUAAAAUGAACGCCAAGCAUCUGUCUGAUGUUGAUGUAAGUAAUUUUUAAUAAUUAUUUUUUUAUUAUCGAUUUCCUUUCCUUUUCCUUUUUCUUUUUUCUUUUCUUUUCUUUUCCCCAUAAUUAUUGGCCACGGGCAAGGCCACAGCUGCCUUUGACCCACGGCCGCGCCUCGAGAUCUUUUCAAGUUGCCGGAAGAGACCCGCUUCCACAUGGCAACGGUUUUGGGUCCACCGCACCAAGGCGUUCGCAUUUUUGCUAUGUCGCCAUCUCCGCUUCGUUCUUUGGUCGCGAUCUUUGAGUCAACCAUUGCUCCGUAUUUUGGUUGCCUACGAAGCAUCGUAAGGGAAGAGCAGCGAAGGGGGGGAAGCAAGGAUGGCGGAGAACACGGAGGCAUUGUUGAAGAAGGACAAGAAGGCUCAGGCUUAGGUUGAGGCUCGGGAGGAUUGUCUUGGAUGCAAGAUCUCAAGAGGACGGAUCGCGGCAUGCCUUACAAGUUUUGCUUUUAUGUGGGGACAUUCACUAGGGACAAGUCGAAUGCACUUGUAGGGAGCCAAGAUCGCAAGGCACAGUUGCGGGUGACACCAGCCAAGGGCCACGACCCUCCCCGACUUUUGUGGAAAAGAAAAGAAAAGAAAAAAAGCAAAAGAAAAAAUAAAAGAAAAAUAAAAAGUUAAUAUGAAUUAAUAAAAAUUAAGAAAAUAAAAAUAUUAUUAAAAAUUAUCUACGUCAAUAUUAAUCGGUAUUCACAUUAAUGUCGACUGGCCAAAAUUAGUUGAAUUGACUGAAUUGAUAUAAAUAUAAAAGCUUUAUUAUUGAAUUGGUUAAAAAAAUUAUGAAAUUGAAUUGACAUAAUUAUAAUAGAUUUAAGUAUUUUUUGGGUAAUUUUUCCUCUUUAAUUGGUUAAUUUAAGGAAUCAAUCUGUGCUUUGGUGCGGGUGACCGUUACCCAGAUGACAAAGAAACUCUAAUCUCCCUUCCCUCUUAAUACUUGUCUCACCUCCCUCAACAAGAGGGAUCAUCAUUUACGGUCGCAUAGUCUGACGCUAACGUCACCACAACCACCACGAAUGCUGUUACGAUCUAAAAAAUAUUAACAGUUCCCAACACUCUCCGGUCUAAAGGUCGUUGAGAAAAUAAAUGCCGUAUCCCUCCUUAACUUCCAUGCACAAAGCUAAAAUCUCAAUCCUCAAGUCUUUCACGGAUUGACCACUUGAAAAUAGGGUUCAUUAUAUUACUUUUCCUUUCGAAUUUAAUAAUCUCAAUGCAAAAUCUCGAUCAUCUGAACAACUCUCUUAUUUCUUGUUUGGUUGGAGUGCUAGAAGCUUUUCGCAUUACAAACUCAUAGAUUGCUUAUUAAUGUCACCAAUUUCAUACAAAUUACUCUUGGUCAGCCAAUUAUAUAAACUAAAUGUUUGAACUUAACAAGUUUGGGAGCUGUGUCAGAGUGUUUCACGGGCUUUUAGGCAAUCUGUCCUCUACAGCCGCGGCGUGGAUCGUAAAAGUAAAAAAAAAAACUAUGCAACAACCUCUCGUUAAUCUUUUGUAGAUAGGACUCUACAUGAAUAGAAAAUAAGUAUAAAGUUGUAUGUAGCAUGUUGCGCUGAAACGUUGAAGUAUUCAAUGAUGGAGCUUUUCAUGGGCAUUAUAUACACGCGGUCCUUUUAUAUAUAACUUAUUUCUUUUAAACUUUUGGAUUAUAAUCUCGACACCCACCAUACUUAGUUUUUAGAGUAAACAUAUGACCAUCAACUUGCUNNNNNNNNNNNNNNNNNNNNNNNNNNNNNNNNNNNNNNNNNNNNNNNNNNNNNNNNNNNNNNNNNNNNNNNNNNNNNNNNNNNNNNNNNNNNNNNNNNNNUGCAAAAUUACUGUAGCACUUUGCUAAAUCUUCAAAAUGCGAGGAGUGCAUAUAUGGAGUUCUGAAGGAUUCCGAAUAACACGAAGCGGGUUCGAUAUUCCGUGGAGUUGAAUUUAAUGGAUGUGGACAAGUCUGGCCGGCUUAUAUGUGUUUUUAUUAGAUGCCGUGGGCCAUAAUAUAUCUUACGGUAGAUAUAAUAGUCUGCGAUGGUUUGUUUUCCCACUACUAGAAACAAAAAUGUCGCUAUCAAUAAGCCCAUGUGAAACCAUCUUUUGAGGACACAGCAAAAGAGUGUGAUGAUGAUUUGACGGUACAUAAAGCAAUUGGCCCACGAGAAAGCAAUCUUCUGACAACACAUAAAGCCAUUCGCCACGAAAAACCCAUCUUUUGACAAUAGAUGUGACGUUGAAUUAUUGCCAUUAGCCCAUGCCAAACCAAUCUUCUUUUGAUAGUAUAUAAGGCAAAAAUCUGAUGCUGAAUCACUGAUCUUACCCAUGUGAAAGCAAUCUCUUUUGAUGGGACUACGGCUUAAUAAUUGUCAUUAGUCCACGUGCCAUUACUUAUAUGCCGUUACUUACAUCGAGUUAGUUUCAGAGAGUGACAAAUGACGAUAACGAGGAGGAUGAAGAUGAUGAGCUUAUUGAUCUAAUCCCAGUAUUAUUAUUGAACAGUCGUCAUUAUUGUUUCUGGUUGAUCCUGAAACAAAUUCCAUCUCAGUCAAUAAGCUCUGGCUCGGUCGUAAGAUUGGUAGCAGUCGUCUAGAGAGAGGACCGGACCAGCUACCUAUUAUUUUCCUGAACUCAAUCUAGUAUGUUAGGAGGAGGGCUUCACGAGAAUCAAGGUCGGGGGACCCAAAUUAAGAGUGAUCCGGAAUCCUGCGAUUAUCAUUAUCCCACUUUACUAUUGAGAUUUACUCCAAGAACAUAAGCAGUUUAAGGACUUGCUUAGGUCCUAACUGCUCACUAACUGAUGCUUAAUUUUUUCUUUACCUGUUCUACUGUUAGUUUGAUUUCCAUUGAAGUUUUCUGCGAAUUUUUUUUCAGGUUCUCAUAUUCAGACGAAGAAGGAAGUCGAAAUUAAGCUCGCGAGUGGCAUUUUCCCAGUUGAAUUGGUCCCCUUUUUCUUUCGAGUUUUUGUGCUUUUUUAGUACUGUCGUGGUCAUUGCAUCGGUAUCUUAUUCAUUCAGAAUUUUGAUGCUUUACUUUCACGUUCUUUUAUGGGAUACGGACUUGUGCUUUUGUUCUGUGCAUUUCUUAGAGUUGUUUGAAUGACAAAGAUAUUGGUUGGCUUGCUUGCUUCCAGUAAGUCGGCAGUGGUAACUUUUAGCACGAUUGUAAUCCCAAGCAACGCAUCUUUGGUGAUCUUUUAUGAUGUAUCUCUUGUCGGUGGCGAGCAAUGAGAGGGAGUACUGUGCAUGUCUAUCGUGAAGACUAAUCACGUCCAUCCAAUUCUUCCCCAAUACAACUUCAAAUAACUCACCUCGCUGCAUUACCUCAUUGUACUGCAGUUGGCCCAUUAUGUUGCAUCUCUGCUGCGGAAUGCCGUAGUCGAGAAACAAAGAAACUCUGGCCAAGAAAACUUCCUUCCGGUUGCUCAUAAGUGCAAUGUCCGACUACUGCUGUUUCUAGGAAAUAUGGCAUUGACGCUUGUCCCCUGGAUUGUCACAAAAAAUAAAAUAAAAUGCAAUCACCUCUCAUUAAUCUAUUAUAUUAAGUUGUAUACGGCACGUGGCAUGUUGCACUCAGAUGUUAAAGUAUUCAAAAUUAUUUGUUGAUGAAGCUUUUAAUGGGUAUGAACUUAUGUGAUUAUCCUCCAUCUACCUAAUUACUUUUAAAUUUUUGGAUUGUAGUUUCUAAUAUGAUAGCGGAGAAACCAACUACACUUUCAUAAUAGUAUCAGAACAUUUAAUCAUUCACUUGAUGCAAAAUCGCUGUAGAACUUUGCUUAAUCUUCAGGAUGCGAGAAGUGUAUAUAUAUGGAGUUCCCAAAUUAGGCGGGCGGUUGCAUCAUAGCAAUUUUUCCUUAACUUGGUGGAGUUGAACAUAAUUAACAUGGACGUGUCCAACUGAUUUGUGUGGACAACAUGCAAAAAUGUUGCCAUCAGUGUUAGCCAAUGUGAAGCCAAUCUUUUGAGGACCGAUAAAACAAAAACCAUGAUGAUGAAUUGACGGCACAUAAAAGCUAUUGGCCCAUGAGAGUGACGGCACAUAGAGCUAUUCCCCAUGAUGACCCAUCUCUUGACUGGACAUAGUACAGAUAAUUGACACUGAAUUAUUGCCAUCAGCCCAUGUGAAACCAAUCUUCUGAGGACCCAUUAGACAAAAGUAUGACGAUGAAUUGCCGGCAAACAAAGCCGUUGGCCCAUGAGAAACCAAUCUCUUGACGACACGUAAAGCUAUUCGCCAUGAUAAAACUCAUCUUCUGACGGCACAUGGAGCAAAUAAAUGAUGCUGAAUUGUUGCCGUUAGCCCAUGCGAAGCCAGUCUCCUUUUGCCAUUACCUAUAUGCCAUCGUCUACAUAUAGUUCGCUGUGGAGAGUGGUAAGAUGACAAUAAUGAUGGGGAUGAAGAUGAUGAGCUCAUCGACCCAAUCCCAGUAUUAUUAUUGAGCAAUUUUAGUUCUGAGUUAUUGUUUUCAGCUCGGCCAGUAGCACCUCAUUCGGAGAGAUCUAUCUCGGUGGACUUCUCGUAAUCUAAUACUCGGUUUUUGCUUUAUACGUUCUGCUUUUAGUUUGAUUUUGAUUGAAGUUUUUCAUGAAUUGUUUUCAGGUAGUGACAUAUAAACAAACGAGGAAGUCGCGCUUAAGCUUGUGAGUCACGUACUGAUAUUUACAUUUUGCUUUAUAUGUUCUACUUCUUCAACUUUUUGUGCAUUUUAGUGUUUUUAGUAUUGUUGUAGUUAUUGCAACUGUAAUCUGUUGAUUUGAAAUUUUGAUUUUGAUUUUUACGUUCUUGAAGGCAAUAUGGAUUGUGCUUUGUUCCGUUUAUUUAUUUGGGCUGUUUGAAUGACAUAGAUAUUGGUUUACUUGCUUCCAGCAAGGCGGUGGUGCUAACUUUUAUAUUUUAGAAUGAUUAUUAUUAAAAAGUGGAAACUUUCCUCGAUUUUUGGCCUGCACAUAUAUGUUAAAAAAUUCUAAAUUUAUUGUACUUUUAUCAAUUCGGCCAUAAAUUUUUCAAUUUUGCCUAUUGAAUCCUAAAUAUUUUCACAUUUUUUCAAAUGAGUAUAUCUAGCUAAUUUUUUUUUUUUUGAAAUUUUUUAAUUUUUCUUUUCAUAUUUUCUUUUUUAUCAUCUUUCGUUUCCCAUUUUCCUCUCCACUAGCCAGUGUCGGGCCUCAUUGAUGGCUAGCAUAGGUUGCCACUUGCCAGCCUCAUGCGAGGACCUCAAUCGCUAGCCUUGAGCAAGGGAUGCCCACGCCUAGGUUGGCGAAGGCUCUGCCCUCACUGGCUCCUGGCAAGGGUUGCCCUUGUCUAGGUGAGCAGAUGCCCCCGCCUGGGAAGCUGAAGGUGAGGCGAGGACUGCCCUUGCCUGUUACACUUGAUUUUCCAGCAUCUAAGCAAAAUCUGACCUGUUACACUUAAUUUUCCGGCAUCUAAUAUAUUCCCCUUUGCCUUAUUCUGAUGAAUCUAGUCGUUUUUUUUCUUCUGUAAGAGUAAUAAUGAAAACAUGUUUUCAGAGUAUCAUAAUCGAAAUCAGAUAAUCAUUGUAGAUCAUGCAAAAAAUGGAGAGAAGGGAAUCAUGCUCCUUAACAGAAAAGAAGAGAUAACUAUGGUAACGGUGAUGAUUUUCAAUUGUCAUUACUCUUUAUCUAGUCAAUUAAGAAUGUGUUCGCCACAAAUAAAAACAAACAAAUUGACUCUUGGCAUCUAGAGUUCAAGAUUUUCUAGAAACGAACAUGAACUUGUGUCCUUAAAACUUUGAAUCACGUUGUGGUGAAAUAUCAUUUUGGUAAGUAUGAAAUAUCCCCCAAUAACAUCAAUUGCAGAGUAGCUGAAUGAUGGGAUCGAUGGGAAUAUAAAAAAUCAGGGAGAAAAUUUUGGCAACCUAUAGGCAGUUAUGAGUUUAGGCCAUGUGGUAAGGCAAUUUACCUCCAUAGGAAGACCAAAUAGGAAAAAAAAAAUCAAUUAAUAUAACACCAUGGAGAGAAUCAAAUUGAACUCUAUUCCAGUAACCUUUUGCAGCAGAAUUAACAGUAGUAACAUUAUGCCGCUGCUUUUGCAUAAUGAAUUUGUGAAGAGAACUGAAGCUGUUUCCACAUGCUUUAGAUCCCUUAAAGAUUCACGGUUGACUUCAUGGUUGCCAACUUCAACCAAAUGACCAGGAAAUUCCAUCAUCUUUCCAGGGCUUACUUCUUCAGCUUUGCUCAGGAACCUGCAAUCUAAAAAUUUCCAGCUCGUAUCAUACAAGAAAACCUGGCAAAACACCCAUGAAAAAGGUUUCCAAUCCUCUGAGCCACAUUUAUCCUGACAAAAGUUUCCCACUAGCAUGAUGAGAAGUGCACAAACCAUGAAGAAGAAAACCAGCUAAUAAAGGAAGGAAGAGACGAUAAUUCAGCAAGAAGAAAGCUGGUACUGUCCGAGGUUAAUGAUCAGUAGGAGACGUAGACUGUAGAGCUUGACCUGCCUAGUAAUAGGUCCACUGCUUGUAGAACGUAAGAAGCCAUCAUGAUAUUUCUUUGACUUUUGAGUUAACUGCGUUGUAUACAAGACAUGCCAAUCUAUAUCAAAAGGAAGAUCACGUCAACUGUAGUGCUGAGACAACAAUAACAAACUUAAGAAUAUAACUAGCAGAAUAUUCAGACCAGUUUCUGAGGGAAAGUUUGGAAAUAUGCUAAGAAGCUCCCAAUGAUUUUCAAGAGAAGCCAUGAAAAAAUGUGGACAUAAAACUGCUGUGAUUGAGGAGAUUUGAUAUACAAAGCAUCAGAGUUGAGAGAACAUCUAUUGUCCUUGAACAGAUUCUAUGUGUAUUAUAAAGAUAAGUAGAAACUGUAAACCCAAAGGAAAUUGAGAAAUGAUUCACAGUCCAGGAUAUGACAUCAAAGGAAAUGAUAUAUGGCCAGGCAUGGCAUAUAUGAAUCUGCAAAAGUCCAAACUCACCUGCCAUACUCGAUGUCUUGAGUUCGGACCUCCUGGUAAUAUGCCAUACUUGUUCAUUUCAUUCUUCUUGAAUUCUGGAAAAAGAGAAACACAGAUGCCAAGUUUCGUACCCAGCAUUUACUAGCUAUCAAGAGAGUUGUAUUAUGUAGGAUUUCAUCACCAACCUCUAAUAAUUUUCUGUGAUGGGCUUAGGCCGAUCGUCUGCUGUUUAUCCUUUUCCACUUUGGUCUUCUCAUCUUCUUAAAACGUAAGUGGAAUGGAUUAUACAAUAACACAGGUAGAAAAUCACAACAUUGCGAAUGUGAUUAUCGAGCACAACGACCAAAACCACAAAACAGAACAAUCCGUGAGGACAGUCAAAAUCGAAAACCUAUGCAGCAUCGAGCUGUUGCUAUCAAGCAUUUCUUCUACCUGCGGAGAGAAUAUACACCUGUAGACUUCCCCAUUACUCCAUUCUUUUCUUCUUGGGGUGCUUUUCUUGCGUCGGCGGAUGUAGAAUAUGCAUUAUCAAUGCAAUAUGCAACUUUCUAAGUACUUAAUUUCCUUCUUUUCUUCUUCGCAACUCGCAGGCCUAUAUGUUCACAGCUUGUUAACGCAUCAGAAGUGAAUUCUCAAGUCAUUCUCUAUCAUAAUCUCCACCGAUCACAGUCUGAGCAGUGCAAUACCAAUGGCCGAGUCUGUUGUUUCGUUCGCGGUGGAGAAAAUAGGAAACCUGCUCAUCGACGAGGUCAAAUUCUUGAGGGGAGUGGAGGGCAAGGUCACGGACCUGCACAGCGCGCUGAGGCAGGUCCAAGCCUUGCUGAGGGAUGUGGAUGCAAGACGAGAGCGCAAAAAAGCUGUGGAAGAAUGUGUCGCACAACUCCGAGACUUUGCCUAUGAUGCUGAGGACGUCAUCGAGAGAUACUACCUCAAAGCGGCGCUGACGGAGGGACAAAACAUCAUCAAGGCGUAUGCUUGCUUCAUGGCGAAGUGCUCGUGCGUGCAGGUUCAUGAAGCGGGGACAGAGAUCGAGGGCUUAAAAUCCAGAAUUUCUGAAAUUGGUGAUAAGAUGCAGAAAUAUGGCAUACAGCCUCUGCAUGAGAGCGAAUGCGAAACCGCGAGAGCUUCGACGCCAGAACGGACUUAUGCCCAUUUCGAGGAGGAAGAUUUUGUCGGGAGGGAAGAUCAUAUCAAGGUGUUGGUGAACGAGCUGUUGAGGGAUGGAGAACAACAGAGAAUUAUUUCCAUUUGUGGAAUGGGUGGUUUGGGUAAAACCACUCUUGCUAAGAAAGUCUUUGCUCAUGACAAAGUGAAGAAGCAUUUCGAUGGUUUUGCUUGGGCUUGCAUAUCUCAAGAGUACCGUGUGAGGGAUAUCUUGGAGGGAAUUCUUGUUAAGUUGAACCAUAAUCAAAGAGAAGGGGUUACGAAGAUGAAAGAUGACGAAUUGUUUGAAACUUUAUACAUGACCCAAAAACAGAAGAGAUGUAUUGUGGUUCUUGACGAUAUUUGGACCGAAGAGGCAUGGGUUGGUCUUAGAAACGCAUUCCCGACCAACGACACGAGAAGCAAGCUAUUGAUAACAACCCGCAAUAGAGAAGUAGCUCAGCAUAUCGAUCCUCAUUGUUUUCUCAAUGAACCUCAGUGCUUAUCACCAGAGGAGAGCUGGAAUCUGCUAAAGAAGAAGGUAUUCCCUCAAACAAAAGGUAAGACUUCUCUAAAGUUAUUAACCUAACAUAUAGUGACUUCAAAGGAUUAUAUUGCCUGUUUGAUUCUAAUUUAUGGUGCUUUGGUUAUCAUUGUAGGAUUAGUUGUUGAAAUUUCUUCUGAUGGACCCGGAGUUGGUCAAGAUAUUGUUGCGGGCCAAGCUGUAGAAGAUAUCGCAAAACAGUCAGAGACAGAGGGACAAAAACCGGGUAUUUCAUUGCUUAGUUUGUCCUUUCAGAAACUUAAGCAAUUUAUAAAUAGAUAGUUACAAUGGAAUUCAAAUAAUCGAAAUAUCGAGUAUUAGGCACCAUAAUUUCAAUAUUUGGGGAAUCAAAUGCCCUUUUUGUUUUUUAAUAGUAAACAAUUAUACCACUAAACCAAGAUCCAAAACUUUGUUCAUCCUUUCCUCUAAUGAGGUUAAAUAUCGAAGAGGCUUUUAUAAGGCCAACAUAAUAAGCAAUUGUGAUAGGAUUUAUGAAAUAAUGUGAAGCCUAGCUAUGUUCUUCUAUAGGCUUCAUCUCAAGUCCACCUUUUUUGCAUUUGUGAAUAGUUGACUUAACCAUAAAAGUAGGGAUUCAUAAGGAAAAUCGUGAAUCAUUAUGCGGCACAUGAAGAUUUCAUUAUAAUUUGUGUAGGAGAUUAGUAGCACAUUCAAGUUACGAGAGAUCACGCUCAAGUUAUCCCUGCGCUGCUUUCAUAUUUCUUCAUCAAGUAGGUUUAUUGUUGUUUUACAUUUGCUUGAGUCACUUAAUCCAGGCCACAAUUUGGACUUCUUGAUUUUCCAGGCGUAGAUGGAGGCAUAUAUAGGAGCUUUGUUGUGGUCCCCAUUUCUCCCCUUACAAAAGCAUAAAUGAACCACAAAUUAUGAAGAACUAUAGCGUCUUACUUAUAUAUCUAAACACAUAUAUUCGUCCUUGAAGUAAUCUUUUUAUUACAGUUGCAUCUUCAUAUGAUUGCUGAGUUGCAAUUUGUUGCCUGAUAUUGUGUAGUAAUCACUGAAGACAUGAAGAUGUUAGCAUAUAAACUCCUUAAGAAGUGUGCAGGAUUGCCCUUGGCUGUCAUUGUGCUUGGUGGACUUUUGGUACACAAUGACUGGGAGACAGUUCACAGAAACAUCAAUUUGCAUUUUAGUGAUAAGAGUAAUGUAUCAAAAGUGUUAGCCUUAAGUUAUGACAAUUUACCAUUGCAUCUAAGGCCAUGCUUCCUCUAUUUGGGUAGUUUUCCUGAGGAUGCAGAAAUCUCUGCAAAGGAAGUUCUUUACAUGUGGAUUGCUGAAGGUUUUGUGUCCCUGAAUGCAAACAACAGAGCGAGAGGAAUUUCAGUGGAAGAUGUAGCAAAGCAAUAUGUAAUGGAGUUGGUUAACAGAGGAAUGGUUCAAGCACGAUUCAAUUUAAGUGGAAAUAUCAAAAGCUUCCACCUCCACGACCUGAUGCGAGACUUAUGCAUCUCCAAGGCUCUAGAAGAGAGUUUUCUAAGCAUUCUUAACAUUCAACAGGACAAUGAGACGGAGAAUUGUUCUGCUUCAAUGGCAAUAAAAGUCGAGUCAAGUUGGAAAAUAAGAAGGCUUUCUCUUAAUAGAAAUGUGAUUCCGAGCUUAAAAGCAUCAAGAAGGACUCUGGUCCACCUUCGAACUCUCAUGUCCUUCGGAGGUGACAAAUGGGAGUUGAAGCAAUUUCAAUCUAUUUUCAAAGACUAUAAGUUUCUCAGAAUUCUGAAACUAGAGAACCUUAAUGCGACGGGAAGCUUACCUAGAUCAGUAGGAGACCUAGUUCAUUUAAGAUUCUUAAGUUUAGCAGGUAGUAGGUUUAAUGGCUUGCCACAAUCUAUGGGGAACCUUGUAUGUAUGGAAUUCUUGGACUUGAGAGUAUAUACUACAGUUUCCAUGCCAAAUGUGUUGUGGAAGAUGAGAAGGUUGAGGUAUCUCCGUCUUCCUUACUACUUUGAUGUCAAGGAGAAAUUUCAUGGGGCUCGGAAAAAGUUGCGGUUGGGAACUUUAAAGAAUCUACGGACAUUGAGAAACUUUAGUAUGAAGGAAUGUGACGUGAACGAUAUAGGCAAGCUUACUAAUCUGCAAAAAUUGACCGUCCGUGACAACUUUGGUCCUAUCGAGCUAGAGAUAUUUCAGCAACUUGUUGAAUUCAAUUUGAAAUAUCUUCGAUCCUCGUCUUUUUAUAUCAAAAAUCAUCAUUUUUUAUGGACUGAAGGUGAAUUGAAUAAAAUGUCAAACUAUCCCUAUUCUUGUAAGCUGUCCAUUAUGGGAAAUAUAGAUAAGUUACCAGAACAUAAGAGUCUACCCCAACAAUUGAGGAAGCUGGUCUUAGUACUUUCUGAACUUGAGGAAGAUCCGAUGCCAAUAUUGGAGAAAUUGCCUCACUUGAUUUUUCUUGUGCUGGGAGUUGAGGCUUUCGAGGGAAAGGAAAUGGUUUGCUCUGCAGGAGGCUUUCCUCAACUCAAGCAUUUACAUUUUUAUGAUUUGUUAAAUUUGGAGGAGUGGAGGGCCGCUGAAGGAGCCGUGCCUCAUCUUUCUCGAUUAGGGAUCGAGCAUUGUCCCAAAUUGAGGGUGGUACCUUCCCAUGUCUCUACAUAUAACGGUUGGGACGAAAUAUUCAAGGAGCUCAAGAAGUGCGGCAUUAUGCGAUAGAGGGGAUAUUGAAGUGGGUGGCCAAGGUUGGCCCCAGCUGUCCGGCGAGCCGAGAAAAUAUUGGGUGGGUUUUACCCUCCACGUAGGCGGUGGGUAAAACCACUCAGCGAUCGACACGUGGCGCCACGUAGGCGAGGACGUCAGGCGUUUAAAAUUUGCGCGCGCCGCUGCUUGGCCCACCACUCUGACACUCUCUCUCCUCUGCAACAUGUCCACUCGUCCUCUCUCUCUUUCCCCGUUCUCCCCGUUCUCCGUUCCGUUUUGCGAGAGAACAAAAUCGCAGGGCUUCUCUCCGAAUGCUCUUCCCCUCCUCUGCUCUCUCUCCUCCGCUGGUUGCCUGCGACGCCUCCUCCGCUGGUUGCCUGCGACGCCGACGCCCUUUCCACCUCCGCCGACGCCUCUGCUCUCUCUCCUCUGCUGGUUGCCCGCGACGCCGACGCCGACGCUCUCUCUCCUCCGCUGGUUGCCCGCGACGCCGACGCCGACGCCCUUUCCACCUCGGCUGAUGCCUCUGCUCUCCUCCGCUGGUUGCCCACGAUGCCGACGCCGACGCCCUUUCCACCUCCGCCAACGCCGACACCCUUUCCAGUGAACCGCGACGCCGACGCCCCUCCGCCGGUUGCCUCCGUCGCACCCAACUCCGAUGCCGACGCCGACGCAGCCUCCGCCUCCGCCCCUGAACCCGACUCCGACGCCGACGCCCCUCAAGCGGGUUGCCUCCGUCGCCCCCGACUCCGACGCCGACGCCGACGCCGACGCCUCCGCCCCUCCACCUCCGCCUCCGCCUCCGCCUCCGACGCCGUCGCCGACGCCCUUUCGCCUCCCUCUCGCGACCUCUGCUCCACUCUCUCCCUCUUUCCUCUGCGGAGCGCCCUUGCUGGCCAACCCCGACGCCGACGAACCCCUGAUCGUGUUUUGGCCUCCCUCUCCGCGAACGAAGGUCGCUCUCUCUCUCUCUCUUUCCUCUGCGAAUCGCCCCCUGCUCCUGAACGCGGACGCCGCCGAUGCCAACGCCGUCGCCUCCCGCCGUCACCUUCCCAAGCCCCACCGAUAGGCACCCCAUUGGCGACUCCCGUACGUCCGGAGGUUCGUUUUUUCUUUUUCUUUUGGAUUCCACUCAGUAGAAUUCAUGUUAAGGUUUAUAGUCGGAUAAGGAUGGAGCACAUUUGCAUUAGGAUUCCAGUCGGUAGAAUUCAGAGGAAGAUUCAGAAGGAAGCAGUAGACCUUGUUUUUAUUCAAUAAGCAAAUCUGUUGGUUUUCUGGACAAAGAACUUGCUGCUAGUGGGUUUACUAGAAAAGAGCAAGAUGAUAUGGACAAGGUAUAGUGAUUCACGAUGAUUUGCAAAUCGUUAACAUUGUGUUGUCCAACUGCUUAAUUUGGUGUUAGACCUAGUGGCUGACCAUAAUUGAUUAUUCUGGUUCAUGCUUGGAUCACUUAGGAGUUUGCCUAUUUAGUCUUAUUCCUUCCAUGGAUUUUACUCUUUGUCAUUCUUGGCUUCUGUCAGCUCCUUUUCUCACGAUCAUCUUCAUUCUCUUGCAUCUGAAAGCCAAAAUAAUAUCUCGCCAAUUGCCUGCAUUGUGGCUCCUGGCUUUGCAUGUUUGGUCCUUGAUUGGAAGUGGAAGUGGAAGUACUUUGGUAGUAUUUUAAUUUUUGUUUUCUGUUUUCUUGGAAACGUGUGAAUGAAAAUGAAAAUUCUCUAACGGGAUGAAAAAUGGGAGUAUAUGCUUGUAUUCCAUCAAAGCUGUAAAAUAGAAUUUUUCUUUUUCCUUCCAAAGAUCUGUGCUUUUGUUAGAAUGAAUAAAUACUGGAUACACCAAAAUGUCAUUUUCAGCUUUGAACUCUUUUUUUCAUUCAUAACAUGCUUUCCAUUGUCGAAGUUGUAAAAUAAUUUCCAGUGUCUUUCCAAACGUGUUUUUGAAGCUGCCGCAUUCUGAAAUGUAAAUGAAAACAGCAUAUACAAAUUUUCUGGAACCAAUUACAUGUUGCCCUGGAGAAUUUUGUGCAACUAGUUGACACAUUAAUCGAAAGUUCAUCCCUAGAGUGUCAUUGAUUGAGUAUUGUAAGUGUGCAUUGUCCAUGAUGCGAUAUUAACCUUCUCUUAUUGGAUUCCUUUGAUAUAGUUCGUCGAAGAAGAAAAGGACCAGGAUAUAUGUUAUGAUGAUGAAGAAGAUAGUGCUGGAAGGGAUGAAACAAUCAUGAGUGAUGUUGACUCUUUGCAUCUGCUGGAUCAGGUACUAGUAUCAGAGCAUUCGCUGUGAUAGGCCUGAAAAUCAACAUUGCUGAAACUUUGUGAAACCUAUAACAUCAGGGCAUGAGAUUUCCUCUUUUUACUGGAAGCUAUGUUGUUCACUGUGCUUUAUUUUCAAAAACUGAGCAGAUCUUUUAAGACUAUUGGAGCACUUGAGUGACUUUUCACCGGAUAAGAUGAAGUCAUGUUUUAUAUAUUCGUUUAUGAGAAUUUCCUGGUUUGUUUCCUGGAUGGUUAACUGGAGGAUGCAGUAUUAAUUUUCUGGCAGUCAGCUGAGAUCCACCUUAAAAUAUAUUUUAAAGUCUAAUGUGCUGACUCACUCAGUAUUAUAUCCUAAUCCUGCUAUUUGUAUGACCAGCCAGGGCACAUUGUAGAAGGAAAUGAGGAGGAAAUCAAAGAAAAUAGACAAAGAUGUGAUGGACAACUCAGCAAACCUUGUUGUGAGGGAUACUUCAAUGAGGUAAGUAUAUAUGGUGAAAUUUUUUAGGCAUUAGGUCUGGCUUUCGCCCACUAGCUAUGUAGUCUUGGAUAGUGCGUGGCAGCACUUUUGAUUAUCGACAUAAGCAUGAAGGUUGAGUAAUAUGAAUCACAUUGAAGACAUUCUGGCUUGCAGAUAUCUUGAAGUUCGAUCUACCUUUGUUGUGUUCUAUGAUGCUCAGGCCCAUUUUGAUAGUUUUGGGCUUGGGUUCCUUGUUUGAGAACCUCUGACUAUACUCAAGUGUUUAAUCUCUGUACUUGUGACAAAUUUCAUAGACAACGAUGAUGAAUAAGCUUUGAAAGAUGCCAGCUAUCUGUGAAAUGAACUUAUCUCUCUAUGUUCUUUAAAAUCCCAUUUAAUGGCGCCUGAUGGAAUGGCUAAUUCAAGUAAGUUUCUGGCUUGAGGUCUUUUGAAUUUAGCAGCUCAGAAUUUGGUCUUGUUUGAACUUACAAAAAUGAGCUAUUCGUAAAUUUGCUUCUCAAAAUUUUUGCUGAGAAAUACAUGCGAUUUUAGCUUGAGUAAUUGUGUUGCUGUCAACUGUUUUCUUCGAGGGGAUAAUGGACUAGUAUAGUGUUUACUAAUUGUUGUGUUUGGUGCUUUUUCACAUGUGUUUAUCAGUGAGUCAUCUGUAGUUUAUUGAAAAUGAAAAGUGACUUUAAGUUUUUUAAAGAAGUUUUUCCAUAGUCAUCACUUAUCGUUGUUUAUUGCUCUUUCUUGUUAGCUUCAGUAAUGAGAGUUUCUUUUCCACCUGGUGCAGGAUGAAAGUGAAGAGAAUGCGAAUGAUGCUGAGUUGGUAAAGCGCCUGAACAAGCAGAGACGGCGAGCAAUUGCUGCUGUUUAUAGAGGAGGGAAGACCAUUGCUUCUAGAAAUUCUUACAAGGACAAAGGUGGAAGGUCAUCUCACAAUUCCAAAAUUCAAAAACAAUUAAGUUCCCGGUAGUGCACUUGGAAGAAUUCAGCAGCAUGUAGGGGCUGGAGGAAGGUGUGAGUUUAAGACUUCAUAUUAUAGCAUAUUUCGCUAGGGAAGAUAAAGGAGAUUUUUGUGUAUUGGAAGUAUAGAUAGGUGGCUAUUUUGCUGCAGAAUAUGUGUAAAGUCAGUUACUGUAAUGAUGUUUAUGUAAUAGUCAGUUACCGUAUCAAAAGAAAAGCCACACAUGCAAUUUUGUAUAGAAAGAGGAACCUCUUCUAAUAUGUUGGUCAUUACUUGUCAUAUGGAGAUUGUGUGCAAUUAAUUUGUUAUUUGCUGCUAUUUCGUUGAUGCAGUCAUCUUCCAAAGGUUUCAAUCUUUUUGAAGAGUUGUGCUGACUGUUAAGGAUAUGUAAGCUUUGUGGAGAAAACUUUGGCAUGUACUGAUAUCCUGUAUUUUUCUAUUGCAGUCUGAGGAACAAAUGAGGAAAGAGAUGGAAAGAUUUGAUCGUGAAAGAAGGAAGGAAGAAGAAAGGUUGAUGCGUGAACAGCAGAGAGAGGAGGAGAGAUUGCUACGUGAGCAAAGGCGUUAAUCAGAGCGACGGGAGAAGUAUUUACAGAAAGAAUCUAUUAAGGUAAGUAUUUGAGCUUGAUAUUGCAUUUUAACUAGUUAGUUUCUUUUGCUUUAUUUGAUUGGUUAAGCAGCAUCUCUUCUUUUCUCUUUUCUUUACCAACUUCUCUGGUUUUUUGUUUGGAAGGCGGAGAAAAAGAGACAAAAAGAAGAGCUUCGUCGAGAAAAAGAAGCAGAGAGACGAAAAGCUGCAGUGGAGAAGGCCACUGCUCGCAGAAUUGCCAAGGAAUCCAUGGAGCUUAUGGAGGAUGAACAGCUGGAGCUGAUGGAAUUGGCCGCUGCAAGCAAGGGGUUGCCUUCAAUUAUUAAUCUGAAACGUUUAGAAGUGAGGAUCUGGUUUUUAUUUCCUUGCACUUGAAUUUGCUUCAUGCUGUCAUUUUGUAGUAAAGGAGCUGAUUUUGACAUCUUGAAAUUAUAGCCAAUAGAUGCAUAGAUAUGUAUCUCCUGUUACUGUUUCUUGUUUCUGUAGUUACACGGAAAAAAAGAGUUUCUGGUUUGUUGUACGGUGCUAUUCUGGUAAUUGAGUAUACAUGCGUAUGUACAUAAGCAGGUGCAUGCCCCGAUGUGUAUGCGUGCAUGCUUUCAUUUCAUUUCCAGACCGCGCGAAAAGCCUUAUAUUACCUUGGCAUACAACUCUACAUAUGAGCGAAAUGCAGGAUCUUCCGACAAUGCCUCGUCAGUCGGCAGUUUCAGUAGCCCCUCUUAUUCCCAUUCAACAAUUACCUCCGACUAAAGCCAAACUAGGGCGCUCCUUCUUUUUCCCAGAUGUGUUGAACUAGAUAGUGCGUGCUUUUCAUUUUGGUUUGCCAAUUCAUUAUCCCUUUUUCAUGUUAAUCUCCACAGUUCACUUGCAGAAUAAUUAGUUUUCAAAUCAGAAGCAAUGUCCAAAUUACCAGAGCCAUUGUGUCAAUGAGAGGCGCACACGUCCCAUACGACAUCACGAGAGGUCGAAACCUCGCCUCUGACUUGAUUUCCCGUUAAGCAGACGAAACAAUGCAGCCAUCUACAAGCUGAGAGGAGAGAAAGAUGAAAUGGCGAGACUGGAUCUUCAACCAAAGUUAGGACCCCAGCGUGCAAUGAGGAGGCUCCUCUUGCUCGAAGACUGGCUUUUAACCUAGAGGAAUCCUAGCGCGCUCCUUCCCCAGAUGUGUUGAACCGGAUAGUGUAUGCCUUUCAUUUUAAUUUGAAAGUUCGUUAUUCUUUUUUCAUGUUAAUCUCCUUAAUUCACCGACAGAAUUAUUUGUUUUCAAAUCAGAAGCGAUGUCCAAAUUACCAGAGUCAUUGUGUCAAUUAAGAGGUGCGCGCGUCCCAUACUUCUUCACGAGAGGUCGAAACCACGUCUCUGACUUGAUUCCCCGUUGAAGCAGACGAAACAAUACAGCCAUCCACAAGCUGAGAGGAGAAUUCGAAAAAGAUGGAGAAAGGGCUAGAGUGGUUCUUCAACCAAAGUUAAAACACUAACGUGCGUUGAAGAACAAAUCCACCAAUGAAAGAUUCCAAGUGUUGAAAAUGUUCGCUGUUCAAUGACGGAAAAGGUGCAUCACACGUCCCAGAUUCUUAAUAAUCAUCUCUUGCACAUGGGAAGAAAUCUUGAUCCAGCUAAACAUUUUUCUUAGGUUGGAGAAAUUUGCUCGAAGGAUUGGAAGUUGGGCAAGCAUCGCAUAAAUGCAUACUACCAGGCGUCAUACGCAUAUUGAAACUCACUCAAAGCAGCAUGUUUAACUAAUAACCAACUGGAAAAAGUAGUAUCACGCAACAAAAGAUGUGUUGAAAAUGGGCAUAGAUUUUUCCUGUGACUUUCAAAGAGUUUGCUGGCUUGUUCCAUUCAAGCACCGGCAAUGCUUUGACCAUUAUUGCGGAUGAAGAUAUAUGGGGCGGGCAGCACUAAGCGCUAAAAUAUAUGCUAGGUACAAAGGGAAAUCAGAGAACAGCAUUCGCUUCAUUUUCUUGCGCUAGCUCAAGAUCACCACAGCCGCAGCCACUGCCACUCCAACAGCACCUUGUGCCAAUAUGGCACCAUUCGCUACUGUCUUGCUGCGUGAAGAACUUGGCAUGAACCCCAGUUCAGAGAGCUUCUUAUGCGAGAUUGCAUAAUCUCUGAAAAUUGCAUCCUCAUCCUGCCACAUGCUUGACAACAUUAGGGAAAGAAGAGCAUAUAGCAAAAGAAAACGAGGAAAAGAAGCACGGUAUCAAAUUGUCCGUUUGUCUCUUUUCAAGGUCGUGCCAACCACCAUGAGAGAGUUGCGGGAACAACAACCAAUUCAAAUAUCAAAUCAGGUGUUCCCAGUAGCACAAAGAUGAUGCUCUAGCCUAGAGGUUUCAGGGAACCACAUAAUAUAUCCAUCCCAACACAUGUAUGUAUCUACCCAACAUUUGAUGUGCGAUCUCAUCAUGAAUAUUUCCUGGUCUCUACAUAGAAGAUAGUGAUGGAACAUAUUGAAUGCUUACUUUUAAGCAUCACAAGCCUACACAGCAUAAAUUCCAUGAAAAACACUUUCCAUCUCUUUUCAUUCUCGGCAAAACCAAGGACAGUAGCAUCAAAGGGUUAUAGACCAUGAGCAUAAGGAAACGAAAUAGUGGUGUGGGCGGGGUAGUUUCAUCAAAAACAAAUUUACAAAAGGAAACCAUGUAACUGCAAUUCAAUUUUAUAGAUUUAUCGAUGGAGUCACCAGACCACGCGAAAAGCUUAUUUACCUUCGCAUACAACUCCACAUAAGGGCGAAAUGCAGGAUUUUCCAGCAAUGCCUUGUCAGUUGGCAGUUUCAGCAGCCCCUAUGCUUCCCCUUUCAACAACUCGCUGUGUCAAAAAUGAUCAAUUAGUAUCUGGCUCUAUAAUGCUCCAGCCGAAACUUAGAAAAUGCAUCCAGUGAAAAGAUGAAAUCUUACACAAAAUAGGAAUUAUCAAACUUAAGGGGUUCCUGAGUCCAAGGACCAUCAAAUCCAGAUCUUUCCUGGUGUGCCCUUCCCUAGACACAAGAAUAAAAAAAUAACAAGUGUGGUUACGCAUCCCCAGCUGACCUUGAAUGUAAAUCCAAGCAGAAAUAGAAAUUACCAGUGUAUGAGCCCCUGAUAAGGCCACUAUGUCCUUCUCCGAGAGACCCAUCCUGUAAAAGAUGUCCCUUAGAUGUGGAGGACCUACAUCCAGCAAUGACAAGUUUAGAAAAAAUUUCGAAUACCCUUUAAGCAAAAUGUACGUGUAUUUCACCAAUAAGAGAAUUAUAAUGCAUGAAAGAUCUCCUAUGGAUUUAGAGCUAUGGUAAGUUAUGGAUAGGCAGUGGAUUGUUAAACGUGAAUAUCACAAAUCGAUAAGCUUAACCAAGCUGUGGUUGAAGGCCUCCUUUCCUUUGAGCCUCCUUUCGAUCAGCUACAGUGAGUUGCAGAUGUAAAAUAUCAUGUGAAAGCAUGAGUAGUAAUAUUGUUUUUAAUAUAAUCAAACAUCCCCUGAAAACAUGGUCAUAAUGAGUCUCAUACACAUAGUCUCUCUCACCUAAUGGCUCAGUUUUCUUAUAUACAUGUUGUCUCUGUCCACAUCACAGCUUAAACUUUUAGGCUGGAUAUUCUAGCACUGUUUCAUAUGACGGAUCAAGAGUUCAAAUCCCAGCACUUCUCUCUCAAGUCAUUCUUUGUAGUGAGUUCACAACAGCUGACUCAUGCGAAAUAGGCACCGUGCCCAUUUUGCUUGUGCAGUUCUUAAUCUGAAAACUUACUGACAUUUAGAUGGGAUGUACAACAUUUGAAUGUCAGUUAGCUCCGAUACCUCUUUUUCCACUGCGCUUCUUAUCUCAUUCAAAUCAUUCCUCUGGAAACUUACUAAUUGAUAUUCAGAUGAGAUGGACAUACAUUUCAAAACUAACAGGCCACAACCAAGAAAAAUACCAGUUGAACUAGACAGAGGAGAUUUCCUAUAAGCAACUGAGAACUAAAUUCCCAGAGAACUAAAAAUAAGAUAGAUAAAGAUUUGCUCCUAAAGCAUCUGAAAAUAGAGAAUUUGUGAGUUAUGCCAAUUAAGGGCUUCAUUACGUGCAUGCAUAUUAGUUUUGAAGAUGUUGCAUGCUGGAGGACAGAAAACAUCAAAGUUACAUGGGAAAAAUAGUAAGUCUUUUUCAAACUAAGCUUGUUAUAUCAACAAUGAUUUUGUCCGCCUAUUUGGGGAGCCAACUCGUGAUAUGUAAGACAGAAGAACCAAUCCUUUACACAGUCUUUUCACCUGGUAUAGAUCUGCAUGUGUAAUCCUCGGACAUUUGGACUUCACCUCCUCUGUAUCCAACAGAAAAGCAAAUGUAAAUAUACUGACUGAAGUUAUAUCUCAACUUGCAUUCGUAAAAAACUCUACUCAUCAAACCUAUGACCUUAUCCAUGAUGGGUUCCUAAACUUGUAUGGUUGAAACUAUCAGAAACAUAACAUAUCUACAGGUUGACUCAUGUAAAACAUAUGCAACAGUCUUAGGAUUUCCUUGUUCAACAAUCAUGGAAGCAUUAGACAGAAUACUAAACCACCCAUGUUAAGCGUGCUCUCGUAAACUGAACAUAGGAUAAUACAUAUACCUCAACUUUAUGAGAACUGUAGGGAUUUCUUUAAAAGAACAAUGUGUCGAGUAAUAAUUAUCUUCAUGCAUUCUAUCCUGAUGAAUAUUGCAAAUAUAUCUAAACUUGGUUAAAUGAACCUAGCAAGUAACAAAAGUAAAUCAGAGAAUGCAGAUUAAUUUCCACUAAUAAGUUCACAGGAUACAGUUAAGCCAACUAUAAUGGCAAACGCACUGCUUGGCCUUUCAAGAACUUGUGAGCACAUAGCAUCAUGAUACAAUAAAAUGGAGUGCAAACAUACUAGCUAGAAUGCUGCAGCAGAACAUGGUAGAUGGGAUCUUGUGAAGACUCUUGAGGUGAGAGCUUAAGAAAUUGCAAAAGAAUGUAGAAGCACGUUGUGACAGUGAGAUAAGAAUCACAUCAUAAUGCACAUAAAUGUCAGCUGAGAAAUCAAUCGAAAGCAUUUUUCCUGUUAAAACAACUUAAAGUGGCUUUUGUGCCACUUGCAACUACAAAAGAAGAAGCCAAAGUCCCGUUGAGAGAAUUUAAGUCAUACCUGCCUAGGUAGAUAAGAAGCAAUGUCCAAAGUAAAGCGCUAAAAAAGUUCAAUUCCUUUUACCAAACCCAAGCCUGAAGACAUAUUAAUUGUAAGCAUGCACUGCAAAUUCUUCAUAGAAGUCCAUAUAAAAAAAGCUUCAACAACAAAUGAAAUAUAUCAUCUUGCAUUGACCGACGCAAUUAUUUAUUCACUUCUAUAUUGUGACAAAAUCACCACAGGGCGGACCUACAAUAUCUGCAGAUGCUUAACAGCCAGAAAAAAUUGAGAAAAACAGCACCAUUUGAAGGCAAGAUGGCCUACAAAUGGCCCAAGAUACUUGCCGCAGACACACGUACAAGAGAUAAAGCAAUACCUGCUGCAGAUGUAUCUAUAAACUUAAACAUCAGAAGUGUCAUUUCUAACCCUAGCAGCAACAGAUGCCAUUCCCUGACUCACCUAAAACUACCACCAAGAAAUUCAUCAAAGCAUGACGAGAACGCUCCGAGAGAAUACUAAAAUAGCCCCCCAUCACAGUUCUCACCAAAAAAUAUCGCAUUUCCCGCUUCUUUCUCACCUCAUAAAUAAAAAAACUCGCAUUUUUGAAGGCUCCAAUUAGCUCCUUCAAAAUUUCACCCCACAAUGCAAUCUACAGAUUUCUGUACAAGUCUGCAAUAUAAGCAUCAUUUGCAUAGAACAGUCUCCCGACAACCCAUUCUAGAGUUUUUCUUAUCCAAAGUACCAUGCUGCAUGACAGAAUUAACUGAGAGCAUUGUUGAUGUAGAGAAACGGCACAAAAAGGUUCAUUUUCCCUGAAUUCCACUUGACACGUUCUUGAGCUCACAUAGAACAUGGUUAACCAGCAACACUAAGCAACCUAGAAAAAAGUUCCAGUUUCUCCAUCUUCGACAAUGGAAAGCAUGUUAUGAAUGAAAAAAAGAGUUCAAAGCUGAAAAUGACAUUUUGGUGUAUCCAGUAUUUAUUCAUUCUAACAAAAGCACAGAUCUUUGGAAGGAAAAAGAAAAAUUCUAUUUUACAGCUUUGAUGGAAUACAAGCAUAUACUCCCAUUUUUCAUCCCGUUAGAGAAUUUUCAUUUUCAUUCACACGUUUCCAAGAAAACAGAAAACAACAAUUAAAAUACUACCAAAGUACUUCCACUUCCACUUCCAAUCAAGGACCAAACAUGCAAAGCCAGGAGCCACAAUGCAGGCAAUUGGCGAGAUAUUAUUUUGGCUUUCGACGUGCAGACCCCUGGAGUGUCAUAACUUUGGCCAAAGGGAUACUUAAGUGCCAUAACUUACGAAAGGUACACUUAAGUGCCACAUUUUAAGAAAAGUGGGACACCUAAGUGCCAUCUCCGGCGAAGUUGGCCGGAAAUCAUACGUGGCAUUAAAAUAUUAAUAUUUCUCGCUGAUGUGUCUCGCCGGAGAGCUGAGUCAGCUCGAAUUCGGCCAAAACGACGUCGUUUUGACAUCAUUUGAAUUUUAUAAUAAUAUAAAAAUUAUUUAAAUUAAAUUUAAAAUAAAUUUAAAAUAAAUUUAUUUAAAAAUAAAUUUAUUUAAAACAUUUUUAAAAAAUUUAGAAACUUUAAACAUUAAAAAAAAAGAAUUACAAAAUUACAAAAAAUUUACAAAUUUACAAAAAAAAUUAAAAAAUUACUAAAAAAUUUACAAAAAAAUUUAGAAAGUUACAAAAAAAUUACAAAAAAUUUACAAAAUUUAAAAAAUUUAGACAAAAUUUAAAAAAUUUUUAAAAAAUAAUUAAAAUUUACAAAAUUUUAAAAAUUUGCAAAAUUUUUUAGAAAGUUACAAAAAGUUUACAAAAUUUAUAAAAAAAUUUACAAAAUUUACAUAAAAUUUACAAAAUUUACAUAAAAUUUAAAAAAUUUACAAAAAAUUCAAAAAAUUUACAAACAAUUUUAGAAAGUUACAAAAAAUUUAAAAAACUUACGAAAUUUACAAAAAUUUUAAAAAUUUACAAAAAAUUUCAGCCCUCAACCGGCACCCUUUUCUUUUUUUUUUAAAUUAUUUUUUUGUAACUUUUUUAAUUUUGCAAAUGUUUUUAAUUUUUAAAAUUUUAUUUUUAAAAUUUUUAAAUAAAUUUAUUUUUAAAUUAAAAUUAAUUAAUUUUCUAAAAUUUUUAAAAUUUUUUAAAAUUUUCUAAAAUUUUUUGAAUUUUUUGAAUUUUUUUAACUUUUAAUUUCUUUUUAAUUUAUUUUUAAUUUUUAAAUAUUUUAUAAAUUUUUAUAGAAUUUUAUAAAUUUUUAUAGAAUUUUAUAAAUUUUUAUAGAAUUUUAUAAAUUUUUAUAGAAUUUUAUAAAUUUUUAUAAAAUUUUUACAAAAUUUUCUAAAUUUUUUUAAAAUUUUUAAAAUUUUUAAAAUUUUUAAAUUUUUUUUAAUAUUUUUAUUUUUUUGAAAUUUUUGAAAUUUUUAAAAAUUUAAAAAUUUAAAAAUUUUAAAUAUUUUAUAAAUAUUUUAAUAAAUUUAGUUUUAAAUUAAUUUUUUAUUAAAUUUUUGGCCACAUCAGCAUUAAAACGACGCCGUUUCGCACUUGCUUCGCCGGAAAAUUGACACGACAGCAUUUUGGCCGGAUUGGCACUCAAGUGAUCCAUUUUACUCCGAUUUUGGCACUUAAGUGUACCUUUCGUAAGUUAUGGCACUUAAGUGUCCAUUUGUGCAAAGUUAAGGCACUUGAAGCGUUCUUUUGCCUUUGGCUUUCAGAUGCAAGAGAAUGAAGAUGAUCGUGAGAAAAGGAGUUGACAGAAGCCAAGAAUGACAAAGAGUAAAAUCCAUGGAAGGAAUAAGACUAAAUAGGCAAACUCCUAAGUGAUCCAAGCAUGAACCAGAAUAAUCAAUUAUGGUCAGCCACUAGGUCUAACACCAAAUUAAGCAGUUGGACAACACAAUGUUAACGAUUUGCAAAUCAUCGUGAAUCACUAUACCUUGUCCAUAUCAUCUUGCUCUUUUCUAGUAAACCCACUAGCAGCAAGUUCUUUGUCCAGAAAACCAACAGAUUUGCUUAUUGAAUAAAAACAAGGUCUACUGCUUCCUUCUGAAUCUUCCUCUGAAUUCUACCGAGUGGAAUCCUAAUGCAAAUGAGCUCCAUCCUUAUCCGACUAUAAACCUUAACAUGAAUUCUACUGAGUGGAAUCCAAAAGAAAAAGAAAAAACGAACCUCCGGACGUACGGGAGUCGCCAAUGGGGUGCCUAUCGGUGGGGCUUGGGAAGGUGACGGCGGGAGGCGACGGCGUUGGCAUCGGCGGCGUCCGCGUUCAGGAGCAGGGGGCGAUUCGCAGAGGAAAGAGAGAGAGAGAGCGACCUUCGUUCGCGGAGAGGGAGGCCAAAACGCGAUCAGGGGUUCGUCGGCGUCGGGGUUGGCCAGCAAGGGCGCUCCGCAGAGGAAAGAGGGAGAGAGCGGAGCAGAGGUCGCGAGAGGGAGGCGAAAGGGCGUCGGCGACGGCGUCGGAGGCGGAGGCGGAGGUGGAGGGGCGGAGGCGUCGGUGUCGGCGUCGGCGUCGGAGUCGGGGGCGACGGAGGCAACCCGCUUGAGGGGCGUCGGCGUCGGAGUCGGGUUCAGGGGCGGAGGCGGAGGCUGCGUCGGCGUCGGCAUCGGAGUUGGGGGCGACGGAGGCAACCGGCGGAGGGGCGUCGGCGUCGCGGUUCACUGGAAAGGGUGUCGGCGUUGGCGGAGGUGGAAAGGGCGUCGGCGUCGACAUCGUGGGCAACCAGCGGAGGAGAGCAGAGGCAUCAGCGGAGGUGGAAAGGGCAUCGGCGUCGGCGUCGCGGGCAACCAGCGGAGGAGAGAGAGCAUCGGCGUCGGCGUCGCGGGCAACCAGCAGAGGAGAGAGAGCAGAGGCGUCGGCGGAGGUGGAAAGGGCGUCGGCGUCGCAGGCAACCAGCGGAGGAGGCGUCGCGGGCAACCAGCGGAGGAGAGAGAGCAGAGGAGGGGAAGAGCAUUCGGAGAGAAGCCCUGCAAUUUUGUUCUCUCGCAAAACGGAACGGAGAAUGGGGAGAACGGGGAAAGAGAGAGAGAGAGAAGAGAGAGAGGACGAGUGGACAUGUUGCAGAGGAGAGAGAGCGUCAGAGUGGUGGGCCAAGCAGCGGCGCGCGCAAAUUUUAAACGCUUGACGUCCUCGCCUACGUGGCGCCACGUGUCGAUCGCUGAGUGGUUUUACCCACCGCCUACGUGGAGGGUAAAACCCACCCAAUAUUAAGGAGGGAGGGGCGCGUGAGCUUGUGGGGUUGUCAGUUGUCAGGGCGGUGGGCCCCCAGAAUAAUUAGCAGAUGUGAAAAAUGAAAAAAUUGAUGAAUAACCGCAAUGCUGCAUAUAAUUGAUGAGAGUAAAUAAAUAUCUGUAAGUGAAAAUAGAGAGUAUUGUAUUAUGGCAUUCCUUGACAAAUUAUUUUCCAUGUCUUCUUUCCAUCAUAAAUCAUCAUUCGUUUCGUUCUCUCUCUCAUCCCUGAGGACUUCCAAAUCAGUGGGGGGGUGGAAUCUGUUGUUUCGCUCGCUGUCGAGAGAACUCAGCAACUUUGCUUAUGGAAGACUGCAAAAUUCUCGCGAGCGCCGUGAGGAGGAGGAGGAGGAGGAGGAGCGAAUUCGUUGCUUCUCCAAAAGACGCUGGAUGGAUGGGGGGAGGCUGUUAAGAACAUUCAUUCUUUGAAGCUCGGAACAGAGAGGAAGCUUGAAACAGAGAAGUUAGACUGUACUGAAGACAAGUCUAUGGCUGUCAUUGGAGAAGCUUGGAAGAAGUAGAAUUCGCAAUUGUGUAACCAGUAAUGCUGUCAAAUAAGGCCAGCUGUGUAUCUACAUAAGACGGUGAAGAUAAGUCGGUGAAGAAAAGACAUCACGUGAACAAUUUCCAGAAGGAAAAGAGAGGCAGUUAAUUCUGUUAGCUUAGCCUUUGUGAAAUAAGUUCUUUUCUGUUUAAAGUCUUUACGUUGACAGCUAGCAUUCGGUUUUUUCAUUAAGCUUCUGUUGUAUAUAGAUAAAGAGCGACUUCUUCUUCAAACAAUUGAUUCAUUGUAACCGUCUAUGUGAGAACAGAGAGGAGAAUACUCCAUUGAAAAGGUGCUCUGUAUUUUUGAGGUGAAUACACCAUAAUACAGAAGAGAAUAAGGAAUCAUCUUCUUCAAUAGCAUUCAUCUGUAAUCUUGCUCUUCUUCACAGAGGCAUCUGAAGAAAUAAGAGUCGUCGCUUGUCGUGGCGUUGGAAGCCAGUCAUCGUUGGAAGCUGCUGCCUUGGAGAGGAGAGGAGAGGGGAGGAGAUCCGAUCAUUUCCAUAGUGCUGGUCAGCUGUUUGACGAAAUGCGGAUAUGGAGUAGGAACUGGGGUAACAUUUAUCUGAAAUCGGCGUGUCGCUUUCGGCUUGUGCAAUUGAUUUCUUUGUAUAUAGAUGAACGAUGACGAGAAAUACAACAGUGCAUUUUGCACCUCCCAGUCUCCUGUAUUUUUUGUUGUUAUCAGUAUCCCCGUCUCCUAAAUGUAAGGCUGCAAGAUAUACUCUGGAGAUUAUUUUACGUGUGGUUACAUUACUCUUUCGCUUUGAACAACGGCGAUGAAAUUGCUGGAUUAUUUGUCAAUCGGGGACGCCUGGCAAAUUUUCCUCUUCUCCUGCGACCAAGAACUCGCGGUAUAUAUCAUGGAGGUAAAUAUUAUGAGAGGAUUUUGGCUUUCUCUAACUGGAAUUCUGUUCUCACUUGACUAAUUAAGUCAAAAAGAUAAUAUUCGCUCCAGUAUCCGUUCAGACCUUUGAAGGGUCUCAUAAAAUCUCUUCUGUUGAGUUGCUGAUCUAUGUCCUCUUCAACUAUUAUGAUUGUUUAUCUU
rnacentral:lncRNA from 1 species